ACUUUCUCCCUCGCCGCCAACUUCGAGGGCUUCGACUCCGACGACCUCCCCUCCGCGGCCGGCGUCCUCGACGCUGACGAUGACGAGGAGGGGCUCGACGGCGUCGACCUCCCGCCCCCUCCGCCCAUCUCCCUCUCCACCUCCUCGCCUUCCCCUCCCGUCACGACGACUUCGGCGCCGAACCCUAACCCCGCCGCGCCCACGCCCCCGAACCCCACCCCGGCGCUCGAUCUCUGGGACGAGGACGAGUUUGAGGGCAUCCCCGUGCCGGAGGCGAUCUCCUCCGACGACUCCGCCGCGCCGGCCGAGGUCGCCCCGUCAGAUCCCUCCGUGGAGGCGGCGGCCGAGGCGGCGCCGGCCCCGAAGAAGACGCCGGCGGAGCUCCUCCGCGCCUUCUCGGUCGAGAUCGCCUGCGUCAGCUUCCUGAUCUGCUUCGUGCUCAACUACUUCACGGGGAAGAAGCAGAACGAGAAGAUCGCGCUGGCCUGGGCCACCAAGUUCGCCACCAGGGACUCCAUCUUCGACAAGAACUUCAGCCUCCUCGGCACCGGCGAUGGCAAGGACACGCCCCUCCUGCUCAAGGAGGGCCAGGACGUGUUCAAGUUCUACGCCAGCGGGAGGCGCUUCUGCCAGGGCAUGCUCGCCACCAUGGAGAUGCGCGCCCGGCACGAUCUGCUGUCCAAGUUCGUGGAGCUGGUGUUCCCCAGGAAGGACACCAUCACGUUCGAGGUGGUGAUGAAUGAGGACGCCAUGGACCAUGUGGUUCUGGCCGUCGCCAGGAAGAAGGCGGCCAAGAUGAUGCAGAAAGAGGAGAGGGAUCUGCAGAGAUUUGCCAACGUUCUCACUUCGGCACCCGCUGGGAGGAAGUGGGUGUCGGAUGAGCUUGCUGUGGUGGCUGAGUCAAAGGAGGUUGCUGGGGAUAUCAUCACUGAGGCUGUGCUUGACCAGGUGAGAGCUUACUUUAGUUCUGAUUUUUUUUGUGGGUUCACGCAAGUAUGUGAUAGUUAGAUACUUACAGUAUGCUGCUGACUUUUGAUAUUUAAUGAACUAGCUAGUGUAGCUGUUGAAUCUCCUUAGAGCAACUCUUGAAGUAGAACUAUCAAAAAUUGUAAUUUGAGUUAGCAUCAGAAAUUUUUGAACUAUUUUUGUGAAAUACCUACUUUGGAAUUUGCCGCUAUUGUUCUUUAUAGGUAGCAUUCUGUUUGUAGUAGAUGAUGAGAUACCGUCAAGAGAUGAAAAUGAUUAGCCUUUUUUAUACAUGGAAUUGUAUAAAUGUUGGUAGAUUUUGCCUACUUUUUAUUGAUUUUGAGCAUGCCGUUUUUUCCUCUCUUGUGUCAUAUUCAUUCUGAGAAAGAUUUUGUCCAUGGUAUGUUUAUCUUUUGGAUAUUUUCUCACUUUGCCACCUUUUGGACAUUGAUGAAAGCCUUGUGGAUAAGGAAAGAAUGUCCAGGGACAUUUACUACCAUGCUAGAGAUUUUCCAUAUUGAAGUAGCUUCUGUUUUUUAAUGAUUGAAGUAGUUUCAGUUGUUUAAUGAUACGAACUGUUUUGAGAUUACUGGUACACUGCUAAUGAGAUGAUUGGAUAGAAUUAUUAGACUUUGGCAAGGCUCAACUCAACUUAGCUGGAAUCUGUUGUAACCUAAAUUAGUGUGUUACUCUGUUUACUGUAAAACAUUAUGUAUGUCUGAUAAGACUAAUGUCUGUUUUUAAGCAUGAUGAACCUUUUACUGUCCGUUUCAUCUUCAUCUUUUGAGGUAGGAUAAUUAGGAGUAACUAGGACCAAAAGAGAGCUAGUCAGUUGGACCUGCACACUGUAUUGAGACCAAGGGCCUAAGCUUAAGCAGGUCAAAUAGACCAAAUAAGCCAAUGUAACUGACUCACUGUUUAUCUUGUAUAUAGUAUGCCUUACUUUGCUUCUAAUAAUUCUUUCAUCUCCAGGUCCUUGGUGAGAAGGCAUUCGAGAAAUUUGGAAAGUGGUUCAUCUCACUUCAUUUUUCAGAUCAAUUGGCAGGAUCCUACAAGAAGGUCCUCACAUUCAAGUUUGUACUGCCGGAUGCAAGCAACAUGUCAGAGAUGACGAGAUUGGUUGCUCUUGUGCCAUACUACAUCGAUCUGGUUGGACGUUACAAGCUCAGCUCGCAUGUGAGUAUCCUCUUGGUCCCUUCUUAAAGUUCAUGAUCAUAUUCCAGUUAUAUUUACUAAACUUUUGUCCAUGUUGUUGGCAGGCUCGCUCGAAAACUGAUGCAGCUAGAACAAAGGCUGCUCAGGAGGCCUUCAAGGAACUUCAGAAUGCGAGGCAGGAGGCCCUGCAAAGGAAAAAAGCUGAAAAGAAGAAACUUAUGGAGGAGGCAGAUGCCAAAUUGAGUGCUGAGGCACUCCGGAAGAAAGAGGAGAAGGAAAGGGCACGGCAGAUGAAGAAGUCUGGACCCAAAGUGAAAAUGCUCCGUUCUUAGUAACAUCAAUCUAUCAUAGCUUGGCUUUAGCUAUUCACUCAGCUGAUUAGCUUAUAGUUCAGUGUCUGCUAGACUCUCAUUUAUAUUCCAAUUUUGGGCCAUCAUGUUUCCCUGUUGUGAGAAUGAGCAAAAAAGGAUCCAGGAGAAAAGAAUCCUCACUGGUGUUUCGGCUUUUAUUGGAUACGUGCAAGAUCUCUAGCCCAAUUUGCCCAUGAUAGUUUGGUCACCUUAUGAAGAAUUUGCAAUGCAGCAGCUCCAUUGUAAGAAAACUAGAACUUACACGAUUCGCUGUGUAGAAUGUUGAUAGAAUUAUGAUAUGAAAUUACGUGCUUGAGUUACAUGCUUUCAUGUCUGAGCAAAUUUGCUGAUCGGCAUCCGUUUCGUGUGUUUUGACUCUUUUCUCUCUUCUGUUGUUAGAGCAGUAAUGGUUCCUGGUAUCCAGAAACCUGGGAAUGGAUUUGCUGGGCUACAAUUUGGACUGGAUCGUGCUGAUGCAUUUCAAUUGGAUGUGAUUUAUUCGAUGGCUGUUCAAUUGCGCUGGAAUUUUUUGAUGCUGCAAAAUAUAAGCUGUAUCUACGACUAGUCAGGUGGUACCGGUGCAUCAGAUUUCUGUUUCUUUGAACAUUGUGCAUUCUCUGCCGAGAAAUUCCGACCUGAUGCCUGGGCACCUCUGAUUGUGAUGGCGAAGCAUGAUGCAUAGGGACUUGGAUUUGGAUCCUCUGAAGUUGUCAUUUCAUUCGCGGAUCAGAGAAUUGCCAGUUUUUUACGCCAAGGAAGAUGCAGAAAUUCUAUAGGAAACAUGAUGUAGAAAUAUAUCUUUUCGAUCAGCCUAUUGAAAGCCAAAUGAUUUGGUGCGGGUUGUUUAGACUUCGCUAGUUGAGAGUAGAUAGUAUCAAAAAAAAAAAAACUUGAGAGUAGAUGGUGAGCCUCAUGUACAAUUAGAAAGCGGAAACGAGCCAACGAAACCAUCCCAGUUCGUUUCUUUGGGAAACUUUGGCACCAACCCAGCCCAAGCGCAGCGAAACACACGGGUCUCCGGCGGCGAGGCGACCCACCUACCACCCCCACCCACCUUCCCCUUCCCAAGCGGAGCAGUAUAACCAACCCAGCGGCCCAGCCACCUCGCAGGAACGCGCCACCAGCCAACAGAGCAAAAAGCCGCUGCUCCGAUGGCCGCCUCCCUCUCCGCCCCCACCUCCACCCCCACCCCGUCCUUCACCCUCCCCACCAAAGCCUCCCCCGGCACCGGCUCCGUCUCCGUCUCAUUCCCCUGGUGAUCUGCCUGACCAGCAGCAGUCCCCUUUCGCUGCCUCUGCCAGCCUUCCUCUCCCGCCUCGUCGUCGUCGGUGUGUGCCCGUUGGUGAAGGCUUGCUCGUCUCUUUGAUUCGCAGGGCGAGGGAGCCGCAGAAGUGCAGGGCCAGGAUGGCGGUGAGGGCGGAGGCGGUGGACACGACCAUCAGCCCGCGGGUGAGUGCGCUCCGCCCGUCCAAGACCAUGGCCAUCACCGACCAGGCCACCGCGCUGCGCCAGGCCGGCGUGCCCGUCAUCGGGCUCGCCGCCGGGGAGCCCGACUUCGACACGCCGGCCGUGAUCGCCGAGGUGAGAAUUCAGACCCGGCGUUCUCAAUUGGUUCCGUAGGCGAAGGGAAGGGGCCGGGGGGAGAGGAAAACCAGGGACAGAUUUGGUUUGGUUUGGUAGUGCUUUGGUCUAGAUCGCGGAUUAGUUUGGAUCUUGGUGGAAUGUAUAUCCUCGGGGCAUUAGGUGAAAGUUCUAGCCAGCUUAAUUGUGGAUACCUUCACGAAGGAUUGUCUCGUUGAUUGAUGUAACAGUAUUUUCCUUUGGAUCAUAGCAACUCUGAAUCUCAGGACAGAGCUCAGAGUAAUGUGUUUUGUUGACAUUGUUUAUAACUGUUGGAAGUUGAGGUAAAAUUUUUAACGUAGUUGCUUGGGUCCAGGCUGGGAUGAAUGCUAUCAGGGAUGGCGCUACAAGAUACACGCCCAAUGCCGGGACUCUGGAGCUGAGGAAUGCUAUCUGCAAAAAGCUUCAGGGUAAGUGUGGACAGAUUCCAUGUUCCUGCAUGUGCUAGAUUGACGGGAAUUUAACGAUUCAUGUUCACUUUUGAUGUACAGAGGAGAAUGGUUUGUCCUACACCCCCGAUCAGGUGCUAGUGAGCAAUGGAGCCAAGCAGUGCAUUACACAAGCUGUGCUUGCCGUCUGCUCACCUGGUGAUGAAGUAAAGCUCUCAUCUCUCUACCUAGUUCUUUAGGAUGAAUUUUCUUAAAUACUAUCAUGUUAAUCGUUUACACAUCCAUGAUAAGAGCAGCAUGUGCUUGUCUGUUGCAGAUAUUUAAUCAUUUUGUUUGGACACAUCUUUACUCUUAGUUAUACUGCAAAGUCUACAACUUCCUAAUUGCUUCAACUUCUGAAUAUUCAAAAUUCUAAGGGUCUUUGCAGUGUAUCUGGUUUUCUCUAGUGCAAAAGAAGUCGGUCCUAUCAUUUGAGAAUUAUGCUGAUUCCAAGUUUUACACUGCAAAUAUGUAUAGCUUAGGCUGGACCAAACAAACUAUGUAAUCAUUGUGUGCACAUAUUGUUAGUAUCUAUCUAUAUACAUUUUUUGGAGGAAUGCUCUUACAGAAUAAUAACAUUAAUAUUUGAAAUGUUGAUGAAAGUAGCAGCAUCUGAUCCUUUACGUGCCUAGGUGAUUGCUUUAUUCUUUUUAGUUUAACUUCAGGUAUGUAAGGCUUAAUCCAGAUGAAGCAAGCGCUGUUGUAAUUAUGUGUGCUUAUUUAUCUUAGAACUGGAACGCUCUGCAUUGUGUUCUCUGAAAAAUAUUGAGAUGCUAUCUUGUUGUAGGUUUUGAUACCUGCCCCAUAUUGGGUCAGCUAUCCUGAGAUGGCUAGACUGGCUGGUGCAACGCCAGUUAUUCUCCCUACAAGCAUAUCAGACAAUUACCUGCUAAGGCCAGAGUCACUUGCCUCGGUGAUCAAUGAAAAUUCAAGGAUCUUGAUUCUCUGCUCUCCAUCUAAUCCAACAGGGUCUGUGUAUCCUAAGGAGUUGCUUGAGGAGAUUGCUGCUAUAGUCAGAAAGCAUCCUAGGCUCCUGGUUAGCACUCGGAUCUUAUUGCAUUCAGGUUAUUUUGGAGUCGAGACAUUUUGCAUCAAGACUUCCUCUUGAAUAUUGAUAUACCACAUUAUUAAUGUUUCCUUCCAGGUUUUAUCUGAUGAGAUCUAUGAGCAUAUUAUCUAUCAACCUGCUAAACAUACAAGCUUUGCUUCUUUGCCUGGAAUGUGGGAAAGAACAUUAACUGUAAAUGGGUUUUCUAAGGUAACUACCUCGCUAUUAUUUUUCUUUCUUUUCUUCUGGAUCAACCAACAGGGCUGUAAGUGUCCUUCUGUAGUAGUACACGGGGCCUGAAAUUUUCAGAAAAUAAUUUAGUAGCAAACAGAACGUGAUAAGUGAAGAAGAUCUCUUUGUUCAUUACAUUCUGCUAUAUUCAAGACCAUUGUCCGGCUAAUAUUUUGGAUAUCUAAUGACGACACGUUUUUAUAGGCUUUUGCUAUGACCGGUUGGAGACUUGGAUACUUAGCUGCCCCUAAACAUUUUGUCUCGGCCUGUGGAAAGAUCCAAAGCCAGGUGGGCAAUUAUAUCUCUCUUCCUUCACUUAAAAAUGAUGUCCAGGCCAAUAUUUUUUUUCGAGAACUUGCCUGCACAAGCAUUAUGUCCAGGCCAAUGUUAACUGAUCUUAAUCAUACUCUCUUUCUCCUCACAUAUCUAUAAUCAUUUUUUGUUGUCUUUUCCUUUGUGAAAAUGGUAAUCUUGUAAAUGAAGGAUCAUCUCACCAAAGAACCUUCCUUUUGUUUUUACAUCCUGAUUUAAGUUCACCAAUAAUAACAUCAUAUUGCCAAACUACUUAAACAGCAGCAGCCAGUAGCUUUUACCCACCGUUUCCACUACUCAUUAUAACAUAUAAUCUUAGGAUCUUGUAGAAACUGAAUCAAAUUUUGAAUUGGUUAUCACCCUGAGCCCUGCUAGUGCCUUGUUUACUUCAGUACACCUCGGGGGCCAGUAGUAUAUCACAGAAGGCAGGGCUUGCAGCUUUGAACCUGGGUUAUGCCGGUGGUGAAGCAGUAUCAACCAUGGUCAAAGCAUUCCAGGAGCGUCGUGAUUACCUUGUAAGCAGCUUUAGGGAGCUGCCAGGAGUCAAGAUAUCAGAACCUAAGGUAUGUUUACAGUACUUACUGGGAAUAUAUAACAUAUACCAGGAAAGUAUCUAAGUUUUCAAGUUUACAGGGAGCCUUCUAUUUAUUUAUCGACUUCAGCUCCUACUAUGGUUCUGAGGUGGAAGGUUUUGGCACCAUCAGGGACUCUGAGGCCCUCUGCAUGUUCCUGUUAGAGAAGGCACAGGUAAGAAAUUACUCAGAUUUUGAGAACAUCAAUAUUAGAUAUAAUCAUACAAGAACAUUUACAGUGCUUAUUAUGGAUUGCAUUAUAGGUUGCACUUGUCCCUGGGGAUGCAUUUGGAGAUGACAAGGGUGUUCGCAUUUCGUACGCUGCAGCUAUGUCAACACUGCAAACUGCAAUGGAGAAGAUAAAAGAAGCCAUGGCUCUGCUUAGGCCCCCUGUUGCCGUUUAAUGAAACCAACGUUUUGCUAGUCCUCUGUGUACCAAAAGACUUCUGCAAUGCUCUAUCAUAUUAAAUACAUCUAUUGACGUAAAAUAGAGUUUCAUUUUCUUUUCUUUUCAGAAAAAUUGUUUGUGCUAUCAUUUGACUUUAUCUUGUUGUUUGUAUAUGAAGACUUGGAAUUUAUACUCAUCGCGGUGAAAAUGAACUCUGCAGUGUUCUUUUUGCCUGCAAUGGAAAAUAUGUCUUCACUGAGUUUUGACAACAUGAAAUCGUGAAUGUUUCAUAACUUUUUGUGGUGAUUUUACCUGUUGACAUAAUUCUCAAACUUACAUGAAGUCAUAAAGGUUUUAUAAUGUGCAUGUGCGUCAAUGUAUACAAUCCAUAUCUCAUGUAGAGAACACAUGGAAGAACCGGAUGAUGACGUGUUUGGUUGCUUGAUCAAAGAUGAACCAGAUAGGAUGAUCCUGAUGUGAUUGUACAAAGAUGUUUGGUUGUUUGUAUGGGACGGUAACCUGAUUCUACAUGAAACGGUCUAUAAGUUUAUUUCUUGAAUGUUGAAUGGAUGAUUCCGAUUCCAAUGUCUUAUAGCAAUCGUGUGCACACAAGGAAUAAAGUGGUGAUCAAUCAUUUCUCAAACAAACAAAAUACUUUUGAGUAAGAUAAUGAUGGGCCACCUCAUUUCUCAAACCAAACAGCCCUUUUGUAUUUAUAUGAUAAGAACGGUUUCUUAGAUCCCCAGAACAUCUUCAUUUCAACCAUUCAGGAAAUCCAGCCUAAAAGCUUUGUUUCUGCCUUCAUUAAUCGUUAUGCCAAGAGAUAAGGGCUCAACGUUACGUUAUGCCUGAAAGAGUUGGCCUAGAAACAUCAAUUGCAAUACACCAAAACAUCACUUUAGUUUUCAAUACUUGACAAAGAUGGGAAGUUGAUUUGUUCAUAAUAUACAUAAAGGUACAGGACAACUUAUCCAUGUUGGAAAAUAGGAAAAGCUGAAAAGGCAUCCUAAACAUUUAUCCUAGCUACACAGGUAGGCGACCAUAUAGAACUGCAAAUCCAAUAUAGCUCCUGAAAGGUACCACCUCUCUGGGCAUUUUCUCAGCAAGUCAUUUUAGUAUCAAUAUAUGAUAACACGGACUUCAAGACGUCUACUAGGAAAAAAUGUACAUCAAAUGAAGGAAUCUCCUCCCUGAUAAGUAGCACACAAAGUCCAGCUGAGAACUGUUGAAGGCUACUCUAGUUUGCGAGAAUCACUUCGUCAAAGUUCCAAUCCCUAACGAGGUCCCUGGACACAGCACGGCUGCGUUGAAGGCGAGGAGUGCCCUCUGUGCCUUGGCCAGUCACCAUGGGUGGAAAUGGGGUCACCUUUGAUGUCCCGACACUAGUCGAAGUUCCAGCUGGAGUUACUCUUCGAGCUAAGCAGGCCACAGCAGCACCACAGCGGCUCUCCUCCUCUGAACUUGACACUGAGUAGCUUCUAAGAGAGUGCGAGGGGCUGUUCAUGCCAUGGCAUACAAGGCAAGCAAGACUCAUGAUUGCUGUCUGUCUGAAACCACCAGUUACUACAGCAAUGGAUUAGGCAAUGUUAGAAAAUAUUUAUCAGAACAUAUAGGAAAUUUCAUGCACCCAAUGCAUAUCGAACAGUGGUGUUGAUGUAGCACCAAAGUAGCAAGAAAUGAUUGAUCCCAAUAGAACUUUCUGACAGAAUAUCAAAUAUUCAUAACCUUGCAACAUAGAGCAAAACACUUCUACCAGCACAGCUGAUUCAGUAACAACUGGUGGCAACAAAACAUAUGCCAUGAGCUUCAAGUUUUUUUUUUGCCUAAAAGAAAAUGAUAAGUCAAUAAUAACUACUACCAGGCUCCAGGCUGCAUGAUAGAUCUCUGCUGCAUGGUAGCAUCAAUGCAUCUGCUGAAUUGUGGGGGAAAUGGUGCGUGACACGAUCACACGAUCAUCAUAGCUACACAGGAUGCAAAAUUUGAUUGACGAUCACUAAUAUUUAUGUUCAGGGCUCCAAUCUGUACAACUCAAAAGCAUAGCAAGAAAAUAGUAUGCAAAUUGUCUAGUAUAUGUUUAGAAGCAUGUCUAGUAUAUAAAGGAAACACCAUGCCUAGAAGCAUGCCUAGUAUAUUUUGGUAAUGAGUAAAUCUUCUUAUAGACAUUAUUCUUCAGUGUUCAAAAUUAUACAACCAUGAAGCAUGUAGCACAGAAUAACAUGUGAGCCCAAUUUAAAGGGAAUGACAGAUCUAGUCCGUGCAUGUUGACACUGACAAGGGAAGUAUCUUGUAGAUAUUCACAUACAAUUUUACCAUGCCCGAUGAAGUAAACAAGUAUGGCAAAUGGAUAACUUCAAUAUACGACUUUAUCAGGGAAAAUAAAAGGGUAGGCAGCGAAGUGUUAGCACUGGAAUUUUGAGUAAAGGAGAAGAUCCCUUGCCACCAGGGGCGGACCCAACAUAGGACAUAGACGUGCACAUCCACACCCGAUAAUUUUUUGCAAAAAAAUCGAAGGUAGCAGGUAAAAUACAUGGUCAGAUCCGAAUUCAAAUAGCCACACAUUAGGGUUUGGAGUGUUCGAUUUCGCACAGCAGGAAGGUGAGGGGAGGGAAGAGAAGGUCCGAAGGGACAGGCAGGCAUACCUCGCUCGUCGCCGAAGAAGCGCCCGACGAAGACCUGGCCAAGGGCGGUGCCGCUCGCCGUGUGGUCGCCGCCAGGAAAGAAAGGCCCGAGGGAGAGGGACGACGGAGUGGAGCGGAGAAAGAGAAAAAAGGAUGGUUGAACGCAACGUUGACGACUUGAAGCGCUCGAGCCGCCCCGGAUGGCAGUGGCAGACUGGCAGCGGAGGGCUAUCUUUUUUAUCGGUCAAAUAAUAGCAUACAUAAAACUGUUUAUUAUUAUGUAAUUUAUUAUACUAUUUUCAAAAAAUAUGUAAUUGACGUGUAUGCUUCAAGGCAUCUCGUCCUAGAAUGCUCCACGUCCUAAACUAUCAUGAUGUACUUUUAGAUCCUUGAACUUAUGCUGAAGUGUCAUUGGGAUUCUUAAAUUUUUCAAAAUACAUUUUCAAAUUUUCAAACUCAUCGUAAGCGUCAUCACUAGUCUAAACAGCGUGAAAAAUGAGAACUCAUCCAGAUUCCCACACUAUAUCUCACCUCCUGCCGCCGCUGCAACUUCCCCGUGCUAUCUUCUCCUUCUACUCUUGAUAAAGCCACCAUCCUCCCCUGAUAAAAACUUCAGACAACGCCGCAAACAAGCUGCGACUUGUUGACCACGAGACUCGAGCCUACGCUUAUGGUGUUGGCUGGAUUUCAACCCCUAGUUAUCAUUCGCCUCCUAUAUUGAUAUUCUUCAUUCUUGAAAGCGGGCGGUGAGAAGGGGCGGCUAAAUAUAUUAUGGGAGUUGGGGAAUUCAUAUGACACUUCAGAACAAAUUUAGCGACCCCUUGUAAAUUUUACUCUAUGUAGUUUAAUCGUAAAGCUAUGCAAAUGAUUAGUUCUAGUGAGACUGUUCUUAAGCAGCUUUCCUUGUCUCAUGCUUUUUAUUCCUUAGCCGUCCUUCCUAUCGCAUAUCUACCUAAGUCUCGUCUUCAUGUCACUCUUUGUUUAAUUAAUAUAAAAAUUUAUCCAAAAUUUAUAAUUAGUAUAUAUUCAUACAAAUUGGUAUGUAGUUGUAUGCUAAAAAUUAGCUGAUUCUACAUGCCCCUAUUUAGGGGUGAAUAUGGUUUGACGUUGGUAAGUGGUUUGUAGCAGCAGUGCAAGAGACAAGCGGUGGAUGUCCAGCUACCUCGUGGUGCCGCAAUGGCCCAGCUAUGGUGUUUUGUGAAAGAGGAGAGAGAUCAUAUUUUCCGGUCGAAUUUUAUCAUUUUUUUUAUUUUAGGAUUUAAAAAAAAAUAUAUAUCUUAAAAAAUUACAAAUCUAUACCCGUUGAAACGGCUAUAGCCAAAUGAAACGACAGAAGGUACACUGUAGCAAACUUACCGUCGGUUAGGUAGUAUUCAAAAAAAUCAUAAAUAAUUCAUGUGAACUUGGAUGGAGAUAAACUUUAUAUGAAAAUUGUAGAUCUCAUCGAGAUCUACAAUUUUGUAGUUCAAACUUUUUCAUUUGGUGUCACCUUGGUGCUCAAAUAAUCGAUACAAGUUUUAAAUCUAAAAUUCAAAUUUUAGUACGAAACUGGGCAAAACACAUUCAAAAAAUUAUAACUAAUUCAUAUGAACUCAGAUAGAGAUAAGUUUUACAUAAAAAUUAUAGCUCUCGAUAAGAUUUAAAACUUUAUAGUUCAAAUUGUUUUCAUUUGGUGCCAUCUUUGUGCUCAAAUAAUCAUCAGAUCUAAAAUUAAAUUUUAGAUAUGAAACUUUUAUCAUUAUUUGAGCACCAAGAUGGAUCCAAAUGGAAAAAAAUUUAAACUACAAAGUUGUAAAUCUCGUCUAGAGCUACAAUUUUUAUAUAAAGUUUAUCUCCAUCCAAGUUCAUAUGAAUUAGUUAUAUUUUUUUGAAAUUGUGCUGCUUAGGGACGGCGGUAGGUUGCUACAGUGCAAGAAAUGGCGGUAUAAAUAUAGAUUCCUAAUUUUUAUAGGGCAUGUAUUUUAGCAAAAUACUAAAAUAAAAAAUAAAAAAAUAAAAAUUCUUUUCCGGUCAGGCUUGACGGAGAAACCGGCCCACUAAGCCCAUUUUGUCCGGGGCUGGCUGAAGGAAGAGAGCACACCCUGCUUGUUCGGCCCGUUUCCACAUUGAGAGUGUGGCGGCCGGCGUGGAGCCGUGGAGGACAACAGGACAGCGUACGAGACAUCGAUUGGAUGGAUGAUGGGCGCACAACGAACUGCUUUCGAGCUGUCGACAACGUCGUGACACCCUUCUGCAGAUAAGCUCGCUCGAUCGGGUAACUUUGCUUCGCAAUCUAGCUACAAGAGGCUAAACAACAGAAGCAGGAAAGUCGUGUGAGGCUUCGUCGCCUUUUUGCUGUUUUGCACACCACCAGUUACACGGGAUCAUGAUGAAGCAGUUGGGCUUCUUGGCAUUGAAGAUUAAUCAAUCAAAGGUGGUUUAUCUAAGCCUCGUCACACACUCUGUCACUACUCUGUAUGACUGUAUGGCCGCCAUCGAUCUUGCCUACAUUUUCCUCUGGAGCUAGCGGAGCCCAGGCCCCGGGGCUUGAAGCAAUGUUCACCAUGAUUGCUUGCUUCCACAUCGCCAUAUAAUCAGCAGGAGCAGCCGUAGUUCCAGCUGUUACCUGCAAUCCAAGCGCUCGUGGGACUCUUUUAUCUGUGUACUUCACUCGUAGGAACUGGUGCACGCACACCUGGCGCUUUGCCAAGGUAAGGCCGCACGCACGUCUCCCAAGGUCUCAAGCCACCGCUGCGGACGCAGACUGCCUGCCCGCCGCACACAGGACGCGUCCGCUCGUGUAGGCACGCAUGCAUGGCUGUAGCGUGAGGCUGAGACGGCUGAUCGAUCGGCGGUGCGCUGCCAAUCUCUGGUCACAUCACAUCUCGCAUGCGAGCAAGAGUACAAGGCGCCCGUGUGCGUAGCGUACCAACAAGCUUUCUCGCUCGUAGGGCGGCGUGCCACGGACGGAGAUUAUUCGCCGCCGGAGCAAGAACGCCGCGCGCACCAGUGCACCAUGCAUGCGUGCGCACACAAGAACGCAAUGGCAACUGGCAACUUCGCUGAGAUUCCUGCCUGCAGUAGCGUUAAGCCAGCGAACACACAGCAUCUCCCCCUGUAUUUGUAUUUGAUUUGAUUUAUUCACGUAUGAUGGGAACACACGACGACGACAAACGAACCAAACCACACGGAAGCACGCAUACACGAUGAACUGACUGAUGGAUCACGGAUGGCUAGCUAGCUAGUAGGCAGUAAUUCGGUAGUACGUAGUAUAGCUAGGUAGGAACAAGUAGUAUAGUAUCCUGCAUGUCUCAUGGCCGCAUCAUGUCUUGGGCUCUUGGCAAGCCGAUGAUGCGGGGGAUGACACGGUGGAUCAGGGGCACUUGUGCUUGCCGUUCUUGGUGGUCAUGUUGGCGUAGCAGGGGCAGACGUUCUCGUUGCCGGCGGUGCCCGGGGGGACGCAGCCGCAGCGCUGGCAGCAGGUGUUGCACGCCCUCAGGCACAUCUUGGGCCGCCCCGACUUGCUGCACCGGUACGAGCAGCUCGCGCCGCAGUCUGCGAACGUGCACGCAACCAACUCAAAUGCAAUUCCAACGACCGGGGGUCAUACAAAGAUACUGGCGACACACGAGGAUUAAGAAACAGAGAACGAAGAACAAUUAUUCCAUGGUUGGUGAUGAGUGAUAUGUGUGCAUGGUGAGCUUACCGAUGGCGUGAGCCUGUCCAUGGGGAGCGGUGGUCUGCAGAACGCAAAGAAAACAGACACAAAGUUUCAUCAGCACCGACGCACGCAUGAUCGAUCAGAGAACGAAUUGAAGCGCUUUGGUUGAUCACAUCGUGUCUGCUCUCACCUCGACGAGGAGCAGGACGACGACUAGCGAGAGUGCGAAGAGCAUCCUGGCCUUGCCCAUGGCGGCGCGCGCGGGGAAGCUUUGCUUGCUUGCUCGAGAGACGCACGCAGAUGGUGCUAGUGACUCGUGUGCAGUGAGGGAGAUGAGGAGAGCCUCUGGCCGGUGCGCGGGGGCCAAUUUGUAGGCCGGGCGGCCGCGGCCGUGGGGUGGGAUGGAGAGGAUUCCGGUCGACGCACACUGGAAGAGCACGGUGGGCAGCCGGCACACCUGCCACACGACACGACACGAGCCCGGCGUGCGCGCGCCGUUGGCAUGGUUCCGUGCUGCUCGAUCUCUCUCUCAAGUCUUCACCAACGUUAUCCUAAACGCUAAACGGUAAACGGUCGGUCACCCUUGUUUAGCAUUUAGGCCGUUUAACGGUGUUUAAACGGGAUUAAAUGACGUAAACAGUUUUGUAUAAUAACACAAAAAUAUACAUAUAUUAUGUAUAUAAAAGUUAAAUAUGCUAGAAAGUCUACGUAUUUACAAAUGUAAAAUGUAAGUAUUCUACCAAAUAAUUUUUUUGGAAUAAAUCUAAAUCCCACAACACUUCAUAUACUUACGAUACUAAUUAGUUUAGUGUUGAUUGUGGUAGUUGUAAUCCUUCUAUUGACUAAAUUAUAUUUAGCUCAUCUAAUCACGUUUAACUCGAUUCUGCUUAGACGGUUUUUAACGGUUUAAACGGGUUUAAACGGUCCAACCGUUUAAUUCACCGUUUAGAACUCAAACGACACGGGAGGUCUCUAUUUAACGUUUAAACGCUGUUUAAAUGGACUAAACGGCCGUUUAGGCAAACAGUAGUCUCCACCAACGACGAUACACACAAUGACACAAAGCUUCUCGGCUUCUCGCAAUGCAACCCCGCCUGGCGCCUGCCUGAUGAGGCGUCUGCACUCGGUAAACCUGCCAUUAGGAGCAAGCUUAAUUAUUGACGCCACGCUAGCUCGGCAGACGAUAGUGGAUCUGUGGAUGCUUGAUUCGGUAGUAACCACCAACGAUGACUCGACAAAUAGUACUACGUCCAGUUCGAGUGUGUCGUCGUUAACCAGAUCGAGGCCAGACGAUGGCGUGGUCGGUCGUGCUUGUCCUGCCUGCAUAAGGAAACCGCCAACCGGACGACACCAACAGGCAACGCUUCAGCUGAUCGCUCGUCAAACCACGAGUACAAGUGCCAUUGCUUCCCACACUCCGUUUCUUUUAACUACAGGCUACCAUUUUGCAAAUUGGGAAUUUUGGAGUGCCAUGGAUCGACCUACUAAUUCCACGCGGUGUUUAACUUUGAUAAUUUAUUUUUCGGAAAUUAACACACAACUAAUUAUUUAAUAAUCUUCCUAGAAAAAUAAAAGAGAAACGGUAAUUGUUUUUUAGAACAAAUAAUGAGCACAGACAUUGAUAAAUUUGCCCGCACACACUUUAUCUAUCACAUAACACAGAGAAAAAGCACCACCAUCUAAAACAUUCAGCUAGUUUUACUAAAUUCACCGUAAAAAAUAUGUUUGACAGCGCAUUCAUUUAGUAUUAUAGAUGUUAAUAUAUUUAAAAAGAUAUAGUCAAAGUUGGAGAAUAUAACUUAGGAUAAAAUCAAAGUUAUAUUCAAUGCGUUGUCGUUACCCAAAUUGAGGUAGAUAUGGCAUGGUCCCUCAUGCUUUGACCACCAAGUGGACGACACUAAAAGGGGUUCUCACCUAAUCAGUCAUCAAACCACGACUACAAAAAGCUAUUUCCUAGUUUUCUUUUGUCUACCAUUUUGCAAAAUGGCAAAUUUUAAGUGCAAUGGACCUACUAAUUUCUUUGCGGCGUUCAAAGUUCAAUAUAUAAUGUUAUCUGUGAACUUAGCACGCAACUAAAUAAUUGUGCGAACACUUUUAAUCAAAAGAAAUUGAAGCACGGUAGAAAUGAGAUUAUACUAAAUAUACGGAGUAAAUCAUUUAUGAUCCUCGCAAAAUAAAAGGAAGUAUGGUCGUAUUUUUAGAUCAAAUCGAUGAGUCCACAUAUGAAUAAAUUUGUCCACACACUUUCUCUAUUACACGAUGCAACAAAUUCGGUGAAGCUUCAUGUCAAUAUGUGUAAGCUUGUAGCACUUAGUAUUUUUACGCCCUCGUGGAGGUUGUCAUAGGAGAAAAAUGGGUCACUCUGAAUAAAGAUAGCAACAUAAUACCCGAUUUGUAGGUUCAAGUUGUGUUUUUGUCAAGAACCAUGCAAUAGCUUAGGUUGUUCAUGGAGGUGGUUGACUUGUUGUAAGUUGUAACCCUACCCUACCCACCAGAGAUCAGGUCUGGUGUCUUGUGUGUUUCAGACUUUCAGUAAUGCGGCUAGUGGUGAUGUGCUCAUCGACGUUUGAUAUGCCUACCCUAUCUUUAUCAUUCUCAAAGGAUAAUUUUGUUUAAUUUUUAUGCGAUUUAUUAUUGUAUUUUUCCUCUUUCAUGCGUGGGCUGGGCCUAGACAAUUCUGCAGGGUUAGGGCUAAAUGGGUUUGCAGAUUGGGCUCAUUACGGCCCAAACACUUAACCGGGCCUAAAUAUUAUAUCAGCCAUCUUUAUUAGUCGGUCGUCAUAGCCAUCUUUAUUAUAUUAUAUAUAGGCUUCGGUGUGAUCAGCAUCAAUCAAAUGAAAGAUUUGCGCACCGACGCCAAAUCUCAAACCUAUAAUAUCCGGUCAAAAGUUUACCAAUUCAUGGCUUCAAAUUUCAUUGCAUGUUUGAUAGUUUGGAUUUUUGGAAUCAGGACUGUUUCUACUGUUCAAUAGUUUUCAGCUCGGGCAGCUUUUGAAUUAUCUGCUUCAAAGAUUGUGACGUCUCCGUUGCGGCUGGUGGAAAGAGAUCGAUUCCGGGCGGUGGCUCGCCGGUCUGGCCAGGUUGGCGACGGGGGAGAGACGAACGGCGGCAGGUGGAGCAUCAUAUGCAGUCUUGCAGUGUGAUUUCUGCCCUCUUUUCUUACAGACAAUCAAUCGCGAGCCUGACAGGGCGACAUCCCUCGCCCGCCACGGAUGGCCACUUGGUGUCCCACGUGGCGCGCGCAGGCGGCAUCCUGCGAACACGUUCCCGAAUCGGCAGUGACCGAUUGCCAUUUUUGCUUGUCGCGCCGCCGCCACCGGCCGCCGACGUGGCUACUGAUGCGUGGCUGCGUCGUGGAUGCACACCAAAGCAAGUCGACGGAUGGAUGGAUGGGCUUUGUUGACCGCGCGGUUGGUUGUAUCAUUUGAUUCAUAUAUGAAAUAAUUUAAAAUAAUAAUGACCUUUUUGUUUGGUUGGAUGAAUCGUUGAAUGAGGCUAUCCCACAUCACUCCCAACCUCUCUCGCGAUCACGAACACGGCAAAUGAAGUCAACUUGUUGGAAACAAAGAAGUGGACAGUAGCCACGUCACCGGCCGGCUGUACCUGAUUCCCUCCAGAGUCCACGGCUAUAUAACGUCCCCCAACCGCAGCUUCGGCGACCAGGCCAGGCUAUCAGCUCGCUCGCUCCCGGCUCCGGGUCUCAGACGUCGUCGUCGGGUCGGACGACGACAAACCUGCUCGAUCAGGAAUGGCGGACGGUGGCGCCGGCGUGAUCGCGGAUGGUUCCGUCGUCGAGGCGGUGGACCACCACGGCCGGCCCGCCUCCCGCGCCACCACCGGCGGCUGGAGGUCGGCGUCCUUCAUCAUAGGCAAGUUUCAAUCCUAUCCGCAGCUCCAUACGCAGGCGCCAUGUGUUGUGUGCACCGCGCGGAGUGUUGAUUUCUCGACGUGUUCCGGUGGGCUGAUAUGAUGCGCGUGCAGCGGUGGAGAUCGCGGAGCGGUUCGCCUUCUACGGCGUGUCGGCGAACCUGAUCACCUACCUGACGGGGCCGCUGGGCGAGGGGGUCGCGGCGGCGGCGUCCGCCCUCAACGCCUGGAACGGCACGGCGCAGCUGCUGCCGCUGCUGGGCGGGGCGCUCGCGGACUCGUGCCUAGGCCGCUACCGCACCAUCGUGCUCGCCUCGCUCGUCUACAUCCUAGUAAGCAGAAACCAGAAUACAUUUAUUUCCACAUCUUUGGUUCUUUUAUUGCAAGAAAAAGGCAAGGAUUCGUGUGGCUCCUGCAUGAAGAGCAGCGGUUUCUGGAUUUGUGGGGAAGUUUUAGGGCGCACAUCCAACGAUUUCUUUUUAGAUCAUUUUUCAUCCAAUCAUUUGUGGCUGCACAAACUCACAGUACAGAGACUAAAACUUACGUUAGUUGGUGAGAAUAUUUCAAUGUUUCAAACUUCCUUAUCUCCUUUAUAAAAAAGUUCCAAUGUUUCAAAAAAAAGUUCAUUGCUUACAAAAAUGACGUUCUUAGCACCACGGCGUCCCAAAGGGUCUAAUUUUAGGCCUACUAGGUGGCAAACGGCACUAAUUCUCUGCACCGCGAAUGUUUACGAAAUUCUCGAGCCACCAACAAGACAAUUUUCUCCCCUUUAAUUUGCUGGUAGAGUGUAGACAUUUGGUGGAGUGUAGAGGACAUUGCUGAAUUUCUGGAGAGAGGAAAUGAUAAACGUGGGGAUCGCAUGCGCGGAUGCGCCAGACGGGUACGAGGUCUCGAUGGGUUGCUUUGGUGAGUUGAAAGUUGAAAGUUGAAACGAAUGAAGACUCAUUUUGUUUUGUUAUGCGACCGCCGACCAAUGGCUGGGAAGAGAAACAAAGACUUGUACAAACACGAGCGAAGAGAAACGGUAAGACAUUAGAGACACACAGUCCAAUCAGACUACCUUGCUUGCUUUGCUGCACAUUCAUACCAUGCAUCGAUGUUCUUAAGGACAAACCAGUGGCAAUGUGGCAUUUUGUCUUGGGUGUGUUAUCUAUGCCUGACACGGGAUAAACAUGUAGUAAGCAUUUGGUUUUCGGACUUUCCUACCGCAUGCAAAGUUCGCCAUUCACACUCUUUUCUGGGUAAAAAAAAAGCAUCUCAAGAUAAAAAGUGCAAAGCGCACCGGAGCUUGCUUACAAGGGUGGAUCAAGUGUGAACGCGCCAAAAAUAUGAACUAAUAAACUUCAAAUAAUGUCUACUGUUUCAUAUACAAUGUAUCCAGGAUGCGUUUACAUUGUUGCAGUCCUCACGUUUUUAUCAACAAAUUUAGGGCGACUAUCCUUGUUCAGUUCAAUGCAUUUAGCUAAGGGCAAGUAGGCAACCCUUAUGAAUCUUGUCAGUUGGAUUCCAAAAUAAAGCAAUCUAGGGAUAUAGCAGAGGUUAAACUUUAAUCCUGUCAUAUCGAAUGUUCGGAUACUAAUUAGGAGAACUAAACAUAAGCUAAUUACAAAACUAAUUGCAGAACCCCUAGGCUAAAUCGGGAGACGAAUCUAUUAAGCCUAAUUAAUCCAUCAUUAGCGAAUGGUUACUGUAGCACCACAUUGUCAAAUCAUGGAUUAAUUAGGCUUAAUAGAUUCGUCUUGCGAUUUAGCCUAGAGGUUGUGUAAUUAGUUCUGUAAUUAAUUUAGGUUUAAUACUUCUAAUUAGUAUCAAACAUUUGAUGUGACAGGGACUAAAAUUUAGUCCCCUCCUCCCAAGCAAUCCCUAAACUUCUCCAUUUGGUGUUUGUGGCGUGGUGCGUGACUUGAUGUUUUCGUGUUUCCUUUUCAAUCAUCCAAUCAUCCUUCUUUGAGUCAUCCACGCCAUUCAGAUAGAGUAUUAUUUUUUUAAAGUCAGUUCAAGAGCCGAUGUACCACUUGGUGGGAAACCCCAGUAUACCACCGAAAUAAUCCAAAAAAAUUGAAAAAAAAGGGGGCGAGUUAAAAAUGCUCAUAUAUCACAGCAUCACAGAAAUACAAAAAUAAAAAAAAUAUAAACAUGUAAUGAGGAGUUCAGCCCAUAAGCUACCACGCUUCACAAGCCCACCAAAACAACUACAGAACUGAACCCGCUCCUGUUCCGGCCGGAAAGAUGUGCGUGGGCGCAGGUGGGAUGGUAUCCUGAAUUCCUGGCUGGCCCUGUCGAUUUGUCCGUGCACACGUUUACUGUAGCAACACAUUGUCAAAUCAUGGAUUAAUUAGGCUUAAUAGAUUCGUCUCGCCGUUUAGUCUCCACUUAUAUAAUAGUUUUUAUAAAUAGUCUACAUUUAAUACUCCUAGUUUACUUAUAUAAUAGGUUUUAUAAAUAAUCUACAUUUAAUACUCCUAAUUAGUAUUUAAACAUUCGAUGUGACGGGUGCUAUAAAAAUAAGUCAGAGAACCAAUGAUACGAGCGGCGUAUAAACAGCAGAGCUACUGCUUGCCUGCAUCCAGUUUCGCAAAGCUUUGCCCGCCGCCGCUGCCGAGGCGGCUAUCCGGUAUCCAGUUCCCACCCGUCGUCCAGGUUGAGCGCCAGCUCGCGCCUGCCGUUUCUCGGCUGCGCGGGCUACUAGAUCGAUCAUCGAGCUACCUCGUAUCCAGCUUCUCCGGCCGUUACCACGACUCCUCGAGGCGAUCGACGACCGUAUAAAGCCCGGCCCCCGUCCUCCGGCGAAGAUGCCUUCCGGUUCGGAACCCCUGCUCGCCCGCGCCGACGGCAUGCUACCGGAUGCGGCUGUUGACCACCGCGGCCUCCCCGCCGAGCGCGGCACCACCGGCGGCUGGAGGUCGGCGCUCUUCAUCAUAGGCAAGUCUCCAAUCCUCCUCCUCGACCUUUCCAUGGCGAAGAACACUAGUAGCGUUUAGUUAAUCGCUCGAGCUGACCCCAUGGAUGGAUGGAUGUGUGGCGUGCAGCGGUGGAGAUCGCGGAGCGGUUCGCGUUCUAUGGCGUGUCGGCGAACCUGAUUAGCUACCUGACGGGCCCGCUCGGGGAGGGCACGGCGGCGGCGGCGGCGGCCAUCAACGCGUGGAACGGGGUGGCGCAGCUGCUGCCGCUGCUGGGUGGGGCCCUCGCGGACAAGUGGCUCGGCCGCUACCGCACCAUCGUCAUCGCGUCGCUGCUCUACGUCCUCGUAAGCAACCCCACACCACACCCCAGAUGCCAAAUCGGCACGUCGCUUUCGCUCUGUCUCGUCUUCUUGUUUUAGGCUUUUAGCCCUCUCUAUGCUUCCUUUGAAAAUUCCCCGGUUGGCUUGAUCGCGAGAGAUCCGGGAAGCUACAGCCUACAGGGCGUCUACGCUAGAAGCACGUUGCAUCUGACCGGUGUCGUGCCAAGUUGAUCUUAAAAUAUCGCCGGAUUCAUUGGAGGUUGUUGGCGUCGUCGCGUCACAUCACGCUCUCGCAACUCUAGUGCUUGUCGAUAGUAUUAAAAUCAUUGCUGAUGGAAUCGUUGAAAACAAAGGGAGCAUAACCAUCGUGGGCCGGUAAAGUUUGCAUUUUACUAUAAAUGUGCAAUUGUAGCAUUUCGUUUGUAUUUGUGAAAAUUGGGUGGUAAAGUUUGCAUUUUACUAUAAAUGUGCAACUAUAGCAUUUCGUUUGUAUUUGUGAAUUAUUGUUCAAACAUUGACUAAUUAGGCUCAAAAGAUUCAUCUCGCAAAGUACAACAAAACUGUGCAAUUAGUUUUUAAUUUCGUCUACAUUUAGUACUCCAUACAUGUACUGCAAGUUUGACGUGACAGUGAACCUUCUUUUUCGCCCAUGUUGGGAAAAAGGAACUAAACAAGGCCGUGAUACGAUCUUCAGAAUUUUUUGGUCUUCGGUUCUUCACCUACAGUAUAGUAUACCAGUUUGACUGUUUCGUUGUCUGAGUCUAGUGCUAAUGGGCCUUGAUUUCCCUAACAGACAAAGGUUUUGGGCUAGGUUCAAAUGCCAGCCCAUAGCGCCUUCGAUAGAAUCUGUACAUUUGGGACUUCCUGCCUCAUUGAGCUUGAAAAUGCAUGCAGGGUCUCGGCAUGCUAGCCCUCUCGACCCUUCUCUCCUCCGGCGGGCACCACCAAUGCGCCAGCGCCACCGCCGGCGGCCAGGCCUGCGCGCCGUCGACCCUCCAGGUGUCCUUCUUCUACGUCUCCCUCUACAUUGUGGCCCUGGCGCAGGGAGGCCACAAGCCGUGCGUGCAGGCGUUCGGCGCCGACCAGUUCGACCAGAGCGACCCCAAGGAGUCCGUCUCCCGGAGCUCCUUCUUCAACUGGUGGUACUUCGGCAUGUGUGCCGGCACCGCCGUCACGCUCGUGUUCCUCAGCUACGUCCAGGACAACAUCGGGUGGGGGCUCGGCUUCGGCAUCCCCUGCGCCGUCAUGGCCGCCGCGCUCGCCGUGUUCCUGCUCGGCACGCGGACCUACCGCUACUACGUCACCAGCGGCAAGGGAAGCCUGUUUGCUCGCGCCGCCGAGGCUUUCGCUGAGUGGCGGAGCAGGCGGAUCAAGGCAGGCCUCCUGCAUCAGGCUGCGCAAGAACACAAUCCAGCUUCAGCAGAGGCGCCGGGAUUCCGGUACACCCUGUCACUGUCUGCAUGCGGGCGUCUCACAAUCUUUCACGAAAGGUGUUCAUGACGUAAUUACCCUUUCAUGUCGAUUUUUGCAGUGUCGACGAGGAGGAGCAGGCUGUGGCGAGCACUGCGGGCUUCGUCAAGGAGGCCAAGGCCGUCCUCCGCCUAUUCCCGAUAUGGGCGACGUGCCUUAUCUACGCGGUGGCGUUCUCGCAGUCCUCGACCUUCUUCACGAAGCAGGCGGCGACCCUGGACCGGCGCAUCGGUGACCGGUUCAAGGUGCCGCCGGCCGCGCUGCAGAGCUUCAUCAGCAUUACAAUCGUGGUCUUCAUCCCGAUCUACGACCGCGUCGUCGUGCCCGUGUCGCGCCAGUACUCCGGCAAGCCGUCGGGCAUCACCAUGCUGCAGCGCAUCGGCGCGGGCAUGUUCCUCUCGCUCCUGUCCAUGGUAAUCGCGGCGCUCGUCGAGACGCGCCGGCUCCGCGUGGCGCGGGACGCCGGCGUCGUCGACGAGCCCAAGAUCCCCGUGCCGAUGAGCCUGUGGUGGAUGGUGCCGCAGUACGUGCUGUUCGGCGCCGCGGACGUGUUCACCAUGGUCGGGCUGCAGGAGUUCUUCUACGACCAGGUGCCCGACAAGCUGCGCUCCCUCGGGCUCGCGCUCUACCUCAGCAUCUUCGGCGUCGGCAGCUUCAUCAGCAGCGCGCUCGUGUCGGUCAUCGACAAGGUGACGGCGGCGAGGGGCCGGAGCUGGUUCUCCAACAACCUGAACCGCGGCCACGUCGACUACUUCUACUGGCUGCUCGCCGCGCUCAGCGCACUCGAGCUCCUCGCCUACGUCUUCUUCGCCGUGGUCUACAAGUACAAGAACAAAGGAGCCGUACAUGCGGCUGUUGCUGGUUAGUAGCUAGAGUUGUGGAUUGGUGAUACAUAGUAGGCGGCAUGAUACCGAAGGGUGUAAAUGGCAUUUUCCCUCCAUCAUGAUUCGUGAUGGAAACCCAUCUUCGACGUUGGUUCCUAUUUGUAUCAGCCGGGUGGGCUAGUCUCUCAUUCUUAAACCAGAUUCAAAUAGUAAUCGGCAAAUUGGCCGUUCAAUUGGUCCGUGGAAUAUAUAGGCAGUUCAUUGGAGUCGAUUGAGGUUGUUGGAGUCGAUUAAGGGCGUGUUUGGUUGGUUGUAUCAUUUGAUUCAUGUAUGAAAUGAUUCAAAAUAAUAAUGAUCCUUUUGUUUGGUUGGGCGAAUUGGACCAACUCAUUCAUUCAGGAUGAGGUCAUCCCACUUAAUACAUUAUUCUACUAAUCAGAGUGAACCAUAUGGUACAAGCAAAUUGGUUGAACCACCCCAUCCAGGAUUAUCCAUGCAUGUAUCAUGUGGUGCAUGCAACCAAACGCACCCUAAAGUGUUCAUGGUGGUGAGCCUCAAGGACGAUCAGUGUAAAAAGAAAGAAGAUGUGCAUCAAAUUAGAACCAAGUAUGAUUGACUAGCAUAACCCUGUAUUUUUAAAAUGAGCUCCUCCAGCUAUUUUUUUUAAAAAAAAUGUAUUUUAGCCAAAAAUGGAGUAUAGUGAUAGACCCAAGCAUUUUUCUGUGCAAUCCGUAACCAAGACGGGGCGAGCCUAGUCUCGGGCGAGGCCACCCGUCGUUUUUCAAUAUAAAAAUAAAUAAUUUUAUUAUUUUUUUGAAGAUGAAUAAUUUUACUAUUUGAGCCGGGCUUAGGGCAGACUAAUUUUUUGGGCACCAAAACUCAGCACCAAGCCUUGCCCUCAAUGAGUAUUGGGCCGGGCUUAGCUCGCUGGACUCGGCUGGUCCUACUGUACCGACAUGUUUUUUUUUAAUUUUUUUUGGAAAACCCGAACCGUGGCCAGCCCAUAGAAUUUAUGAACAGUUAAUACAAUGCAAACUUUAGCGAUCAUCACACCCCGCCAUCGAUGGGAAAAAAAAAAAAGAGCCAUGGCAGUGGCACCAGCACGGCCCCAGCUGCCAGCCGCCCGUGCCCACCCCACCGCUUCCUCCUCAGCUCCUCAAAGGCGCCACGCCUUCGGUAGUUCGCUGGCACGGCUCUCGCUUACGCGCACUGCACAGACCCCUGCCUCAGCAGCCAGCCAGCCAUGGCGUCGGAGUCGGACCCUGGCUCCACGGACCCGCUCCUCCCCCGCCGCCGCGCGCCGUCCAAGGGCGGCUGGAGGUCCGCGCUCUUCAUAAUCUGUAAGCCACCACCGCACCCACGAUUUCUCGCCCCGAUUAGAUUCGAUUCUCGCUUACUGGUGAGUGGUGAGAGCGCGCGCGGCGCGGUUGCAGGGGUGGAGGUGGCGGAGCGGUUCGCGUACUACGGCAUCUCGUCGAACCUGAUCAGCUACCUGACCGGCCCACUCGGCCAGACCACGGCGGCGGCGGCGGCGGCCGUCAACGCGUGGUCGGGCGCCGCGUCCAUGCUGCCGCUCCUCGGCGCCGCCGUUGCCGACUCCUGGCUCGGCCGCUACCGCACCAUCGUCGCCUCCUCCGUCCUCUACACCAUGGUCAGCCUCAGGCCCCCAACAACCGCAUCCCCCUCCUCUUCCUCCUCGAUCUCACGAAUCACGACCUCGCUGCUCGCUGCAGUUCUCUCUCUCUCAUACUCUCGACAGCCGGCAUAUUUUAUCAGUUCCAACCCCUGCGUUUUCGUGUAUUACUUUUCGCUGUCAUGUCGUUGCUGACCUGUCCGCGAUCAUAUAAAAAUCCAGUAAAGAAAUUUCGCACGAUAGGCGCAUGGAUGGGGAGCCGCGUGCGUAAUUAGUGAUUGUAGUACUGAUUAUAAUUAGUGGAGAUAAUUUUCAUUGCGAUUUGCAAGUGAUGAUGGAUAGAUUCUGAGAAGCAGACAGGCAAUGGUGGCAUGAGCAAAGCUUCCUGGCGCAGGCAGGCAGCGCCCACAGUCCACAGGCGCACGAUUUUGUCGGGGGCCUGGGGUGGAGAUUGCCGGGCGCCGCAGCUGCUGCAACCACUAUACAGCCUGCAAUCUCACACUUCACUCCGUCGUAACCGUAGUAUUCAUAGCUCGGCAAUAGCUGUCCCGUUGUGCGUCGUGCUGUCACCAGGCGUAGAAGCAAAUUGGAGGGGCUCUUCCUCUUCCUCCUUCAAAGCAUCCAUCCUAUCUGACGUACCAAAAAAAACUUCUUUUUCGUAUAAGUGAUCUGGACUUGACAUUGUUACGUGUGUGCAAAUUGCUCCGAUUUUCAACAGGAUUGUGUUGCACUUUGCACGUAUCUUCUCCGGAGACGCCUUUGGUUCGUUCAGUCCCUCUCAGUGUGUCGGCUUCAUCAGCAGGAUUGCAGAAAAGCGUGCCUUGUGUCCUUCAGCAGAGCCAGACAGUUCAGAGGCAAAAUAGAGCAGGACCGGCCGGUGGUCGCGUUCGAGUAGUAACGGAACCAACCAAAGAUGGCAAGCCAAAGCGAACCACGCUAAGGGGUGUUGGAUCUUUAAUCCAUUUUAUAUCAUAUCGAAUAUUUGGAGACUAAUUAGGAGGACUAAAUAUUAGCUAAUUAUAAAACUAAUUACGCAGAUGGAGGCUAAUUCACGAGACGAAUCUAUUAAACCUAAUUAAUUCAUCAUUAGCACAUGUUUACUGUAGCAUCACAUUGUCAAAUCAUGGACUAAUUAGGUUUAAUAGAUUUGUUUCGCAAAUUAGUCUCCAUCUGUACAAUUGGUUUUAUAAUUAGCCUAUAUUUAAUACUUCUAAUUAGUAUCUAAACAUUCGAUGUGGCAGGAAUUGAAUUUUAGGAGGUGCUAAAGAAACAAACACACCUAAUACUAUUUGGGUAACAGAUGUUCCGUCCUGCGUACCUUGGAGAUUCGAAUCAUUGCUUCUCUGACAAAUGAAUAUACACUGCUAGUUUGAGUUGAGGGUCCAUGUCCAGGCUGCAGUGGUCGUAAUUUAUUAUGAAUCCAAGUAAAUUGAUUUUUUUUUUCAAAACAUAGUAGCCUAGGCGCAUAUACACGCACACAUGCUCACUCUUAAGUCCAAUCAUACUAUACACACUCCGUAAAUUUAAGCUGGCAGAUUUUUAUUUGGAUUAACAGCGUCUCUUAUCGAUGGACACGUCCCUUCCACUUUAAACUCGGCGAGCAAAUUUUUACAGAUUCUAUCAUAAAAAAACUAAUGGGCUGGGCAACACUGUUGGCUAAGUUAAAAUAAUUUUACAAGUAACUUACUUAUCCCAAGAACGUAAGUAGUUGUAUCUUUUUGAAACCAAAUAAAACUACAACAUUAUGUAAAAGAGAACAUUAUGAAAUAGUUUUCAAGAUACAUUUCCAUUUAUCAUUGUUCUGUUCAUGUAUCCAUUUCGAAUGUUAGCUUUAAUGCUGUAUCAAAAUGACCACCCUCAUCAAAAUUUGGCGAAUCUGCAGGGCCUUGGGAUGCUGACGCUCUCAUCCAUGUUCCCAUCACCUCAACAAUGCGGCGUCGCCGCCGACAGCCGAGGAGCAUGCCCGCCAUCCUCGUUACAGACAGUCUUCUUCUACAUCUCGCUCUACCUGGUGGCCAUCGCUCAGAGCGGCCACAAGCCCUGCGUCCAGGCCUUCGGCGCCGACCAAUUCGACGCCACGGACCCCGACGAGUCCUCGUCCCGGGCCUCCUUCUUUAACUGGUGGUACUUCGGGAUCUGCGUGAGCGGCACCAUGACCGUUGCGAUCAUGAGCUACGUGCAGGACAACGUCAGCUGGGCCCUCGGCUUCGGCGUGCCGUCCAUGGUCAUGCUCCUCGCGCUCGCCAUCUUCCUGCUCGGCACGAGGACCUACCGGUUCUACGGCGGCUCGCGAGGCGGCAGCAACGUUGGCGCCGGCACGUUCUCCCUCGUCGGCAAGGCCUUCGUCGCCUGGAGGAAGAGGUCCAAGGAAGCCUUGCCGGCGGAGCUGGAGCACGGUGACGGCGAGCUCGCCGUCACCGAGAACGCGGCGCUCGCAGAAGAGGUGAGCGGGCUUACGAGGCUGUUCCCGAUCUGGGCGACGUGCCUCCUCUACGGCGUGGUGUUUGCGCAGCCGCCCACGCUCUUCACCAAGCAGGCGGGGACGCUGGACCGCCGGGUGGGGUCGUCGUUCCAGAUACCUCCCGCGGCGCUGCAGUGCUUCCUCGGAGUCAGCAUCGUGUCCUGCAUCGUGCUGUACGACCGCGUCCUGGUGCCCGUGGCGCGCCGGGUCUCCGGCGUAGCCUCGGGGAUCACCAUGCUGCAGCGGAUCGGCACGGGGAUCGCCCUGUCCCUGGUCACCCUUGCCGUCGCCGCGCUGGUAGAGAUGAGGCGGCUGCGGGCGGCGAGGGACGCCGGCCUGGUGGACGGUGGCGGUUCCGGCGGGACGGCGGUCCCCAUGAGCCUGUGGUGGAUCGUGCCGCAGUACGUGCUCCUCGGCGCCGCGGACGUGUUCACCAUGGUCGGGAUGCAGGAGUUCUUCUACGAUCAGGUCCCUGGCGCGCUCAAGAGCCUCGGGCUCGCGCUCUACCUGAGCGUCCUCGGCGUCGGCAGCUUCAUCAGCAGCUUCCUCAUCACGGUCAUCGACGGCCUGACGAAGAGGAACGGCGGCACGAGCUGGUUCGCCGACGACCUGAACCGGGGACACCUCGACUACUUCUACCUGCUUCUUGCUGCGCUCACUGCGUUAGAGCUUGUCGCUUUCACUUACUUUUCAGCGUCUUACGUUUACAGGAGAAAGGCAGGCAAUAGCCAUUGACUAAUGAGCAGAGGCAUGCAUAUGUAUAGUUCACCUAUGGACUAUGGAGUCAAGAUCGUGUAUGCCAUCACAUUAGAUGGCAGCAGCAAAAAUAAAUAAAGUAAAAUAAAUCCAUCAAUCUUCAGUGUUCUGGUGAAAUCAUAAUGGGCUGUUUUUAGCACACAAACAGCACAAUCCUGCAGGCUAUAGUGAAAGAACUCCCAACCUUCGGAAAUGGUUAAGAAGGUGAACUAUGGCCCAGGUAUGCGUUACAAACUUGCAAUGACAGCACCAGUAAGAUCAUAGGGCGCAAUAAUGAUUUCACUGUUGAUUCUUCUAGGUGAAAAAUUGCUAACUGCUUGAUUACAUAAUAAAAUUGAGCAGAAGAGAAUCUUUAGACCGGUGUUUGGUUCACAGCCCCAUUGUGCCAAGCCAAAAUUAGGUCCUGCCCGGGAAACUCGGCAUCCAUUUGGUUUGAAGCCCAAAUUUUGCAAUGCCAUGGAAAAAUUUGACCGGCAGUAAUCUAUGCACAACCCUGGUGGCCUUGUGAUUUUUGCCAUUUUCUUUGAACUGAAUUUGGAAUUACCCAGGUUUUGGCAUAGCUAAUUUACACAGACAAGAUGUUAGCACUUCAUCAUCUGAUCUUAUUGGUACUCAGCUUAAUGGAACAGAAAGAUGAGUAUUCCUUCGGCAACAUGAUACUAGAAUGCUUCACCAAAUUAAGCUACAGCCUUGAGGCGCACAAAAUUAUCCAACCAGAACUGAAUCUAACAACCUACAAGUACAGGCGAUGCAGAGCAGAGGAGCAGCAGAGCUCACCUGCUCACCGCCUCACUCCUCGAGCUCAGCGGCCGGGUCGGCCAGCGUGGGCAACACGGGGUACUUGCGCGAGAAGCACGCGUCGCAGUAGUCCCCCGCUUCUUCGCCGUAGAUGCCGUGCAGCUUGCCGAGCGACAGGAAGGCGAGCGAGUCACUGCCGAUCUCCCUGCGCACGCCCUCCAGGUCCAUCCGGUUGGAGAUGAGCUCGCCCUCGCUCGGCGUGUCGAUGCCGUAGAGGCAGGACCCCACCACGGGCGGGCUCGCGAUCCUCAUGUGCACCUCGCGCGCGCCGGCGUCGCGCAGCAGCCGCACGAUCUUGCUCGAGGUGGUGCCGCGCACCAGCGAGUCGUCCACGACCACCACGCUCUUGCCGGCGAUGACGCCGCGCACGGGGGCGAGCUUGAGCUUCACGGCGAGGUCGCGGAUCGCCUGCGUGGGCUGGAUGAAGCUGCGGCCGCUGUAGUGCCACCGGAUCAGGCCCUGCUGGAACUCGAGCCCCGACGCGCGCGCGAACCCGAGCGCGGCGUAGAAGCCAGAAUCGGGCACCGGGAUGACCACGUCGGCGCCCGGGGCCGGGGACUCCUCGGCGAGGGCGCGGCCGAAUGCGGUGCGGCGCUCGUGGACGGCGUGGGAGAAGACGACCGAGUUGGGGAGCGAGAAGUAGAUGUGCUCGAAGACGCAGGCGCGGCGCGGGCGUUGCGGGACGAGGCAGGCCGAGGCCACCGACAUGUCGCGGCGGUCGACCACGACCACCUCCCCGGGCUGCACCUCGCGCUCGUAGGUGGCGUCGAUGAGGUCCAGCGCGCAGGUCUCCGACGCGAACACGACGGCGCCGUUCCGGCGGCGGCCCAUCACCAGCGGGCGGAACCCGUGCGGGUCGCGCACGGCGAACAUCUUGUCGGCCGUGAGGAACAGGAGCGAGUAGGCCCCCGCGAGGCGCUCGCACGCGUCACAGACGCGCGCGAGCAGGGGCCGCGACAGCGACGUCGCGAUGAGGUGGAGGAUGACCUCUGUGUCCGAGGAGGUGUUGAAGAUGGAACCCCGGGCCUCGAGCUUGUUCCGGAGUGCUUGGUAGUUGACGAGGUUGCCGUUGUGCGCGACGGCGACCUGCCCGAACCGGUAUCCCGCCAGGAACGGCUGCACGUUCCGCAGCGACGCAGCGGCGCCGGCCGUGGAGUAGCGCACGUGCCCGAUGGCGGCGGGGCCCGGGAGCGAGGCGAGGCGGGACGGGUCCCCGAACACGUCGGCCACGAGGCCCAGCCCCGUCACGGACUUGAGCUUGCCGUCGCCGCCCACGGCGACGAUGCCAGCCCCCUCCUCCCCGCGGUGCUGCAGCUUCUGCAGCCCCAGGUAGCACAGCGACGACGCGUCCGGGUCGCCGACGACCCCCACCAGGCCGCACUCCUCGCGCGGGUGGUCAUCCGCGUCCUCGUCCACGCCGUAGGAGAACGGGGUGACACGGUCGGGCAGGAGCGCCCCGGCCGCCGCCCCACGCCGGCCGGAGCCGCAGCGCAGCGAGAGAGGGUACUGGAUCGCGGCGUACCUGAGCUGGUGCUGGUGGUGACGGUCGGAGCCAGCGGCGGCGCGGUGGUGGAGGAGGAGGAGGCGAGACGUGGACGCGGCGGCGGCGGCGGCGGCGACCAUCCCCAUUGGAGCGAGGAGGGGAUUGGAGCGGGGCGAGGGCACACGGGCGAUGCCCCUCUCUGGUGCGCGUCAAGGGGCGGGAUUUAAAGGGUUUUGGCUGGUGGGCGCCUGGCUGCCGUUGGAUUGGGAAGCGAGGUGCUGAGCUCGGUCGGCAAAUCGCGCUGGAUGGCGGCGGAGACCAACUGACAUGUGGGUCUAACACUCAGCCGACUUAAAGAGGUGCCGGUACUGGAAUCGUGGACCAGGAUGCGUUGAAUCCACAGGAGAAGAGACGUGUUGACUCGUAACAGUCCAUACAAAGGCUACGGGUCACAGGCCCAGGAAUCCUAUGGGCCACAAAGCCUCUCUUUCCCGUAUAAAUGGAUGGGCCCUUAUUAAAAGAAGCUCGACCCACAAGAAACCAUCCAAAAAAGGCCCAACCAAAUCCCUCCAUUUUUUUCGGUUGGAGAAGACAACGUGUUUGUUUCCAAUCUAAGCUGCUGAAUAAGGCAUCGGCGGUAGAGCUGGUUAAACACGUGCUGGGGCUGAGGGAGGUGGAAAGAAUGCGGGUUGUCCUCCUGCUAUGGCACUGGUGGUUGGAGGGGAACCGCGUCAGAGAAGGAGAGCAUAUCCGGGAACCAUCCGGGACUGCCUCUAUCAUCACGAAACUCUCUGACGAAUACGUGGCAAUAGGGGAAAGGGAGAAGGAGAAUGCCCAGCUUAGAAGACAGAAAGUGCACUGGUGUAAACCAUCCGGAUGGUGCCUACAUGGCAUGCUCGGGCGAUGGAGGUUGGGGCUAUGUGAUCAGAGAUGAUGCAUGCACAGUGGUUAGUGCCGGAGCCGGUCGAUGUGAAUACCUCCUGGAUGCUCUGCACGCAGAACUUCUAGCAUGCUUGGAAGGGGUACGAGCAGCAGGGGAAAAAGACAUCAGCAAAGUGGUGAUUCAGGGGAAAAAGGCAUCAGCAAAGUGGUGAUUGAGACAAACUCAAUUCUUGUCAAGUUGGCGGUGGUGUCGAAUACCUUCUCUCUCGCAGCAACUGGUGGAAUUAUCUUCGAGAUCAAGAAUGUAAUAAGCACGUUUUUUACUUCAUGGUCUAUAUGGCGCAUGCAUUGGCUGCGAUGGGAUGUAAGCAUGUGUUUGGUUUUAGAAUGAAGUGAAACGGGUUGGGUUCAAUCUAUCUCGUGUUUGGAUGAGAGGACUGGAUUUAUUCCAGUCUUUUGUUUGAUUGAAGGGGUUGAGAGGGAUGUGAUAGAUGCUAUUUUAACACUGUUAGCAAUGGAUCCACCUGUCAGCUGCAGGACCCAUCUGUCGUCCUCUUUUUUUUUUACGUCACCUUAUCUUCUUCGUCCUCCCUCCACUCGCCCGAUCCUCCACGCCGCCCGAUCCUCCCGAUCCUCCAUGACGCCGGCGUCGUUCGCUCGCCGCCCCACGCCGGCCUUCCCCACGCUAGCCUCCCUCGCGCCGCCGGCCGCCCCCUCCCUCUCCCGGCGCAGGUCGGCACCGGCCGCCACUCCCUCUCCCGGCGGCGGCGGGGCUCGAGCUCGCCCGGCCGGCGGCGCGGGGCUCCAGGUGCGCGUUGACCUCCAGCAGCGGACGGAGAGUGAUGCUGUUGAUGUGGGUCGAGUGUGUCCGCUCGUUUUGGACGAAUGCAUUCGACCCGCAUCUAGGAGGAAUAUUCCCUCCUGGGUCCAACCCAACCCAGAUGCAUCUUCAACCAAACGGGACUCGAUGGGGGUCGAACCCGUUCCAACCCAGUUCGACCCCAAACCAAACACACCCUAAGUGUCCUCAUUGUACCACCAGCAAUGGGAGGGUACGCCGCAAGGCAUCGAGGUCCUAGUAGCCAGUGAUUCCACUGAGCCAUUGAGUUAAUGGAAUUCUAUUCCCCUUAAAAAGAAAUCUUAGAGCAAUUAUAUUACUACACCUUAGCAGUCUCAUAGAUCGUCCGUAGGAUUUUCGCUGACGUGGAGGAGAGAGGGUGAGGAGAGAGAAAGAGACUAUUAUUAUUCAUGAAAUAACCGCCUCAUAGGCUAGAUUUUAGGACUACGAGAUGACUACUCCACCAUUGUACGAAUUGUGGUUGCAUGCAAGUCAUAAUAUUUUUUUUCUAUACACAAAUUAAGAAAAAAAUUAUUAUGAGACAACUUAAAAAGACAACCCAUUCUACUAGUUGUUUGUUAAGUCAUCUCAAGAUUACGUGUCAAUGCAUGAGAUCGCCUGUUAGACAAAACACCAAUAUGCUUGCCCUUAAGCUAGAAGCUGGAGUUCCUCGUAAGCCAGAGAAACCAUCAGCUUAUUUGAAUCAAAAUACUAAAAAUUUAGACUAAUUUAAAAUUGACAAAAUUAAAUUAUAGGUUCUCUGAAUUAUUACUCUACAGAUUCGACUCUCUAAACUUAGCUUCGGGUGUCAUCUGAUCACCGAGCUUGCAAAUUGUAAAUUUAGUCCUCCUGAACUCGCACUGAGUCUAGAACUUAAAUUUGGAUGAUCAAGUUUAUCAUAAGAAACGUGACCAUUUUAAGUAGUUUGCUCUUCACUUAAAUUGUGGAGAUUAAGUGAAGAGCGUGUUCUUUAUCUAAAUCUGAAGAUUUGUUGGUGACACAGUUUUGGCUCGAGGAUCGGCCGAUUGAGGAACAAUCUGCUCCGGGAUAAGUUGUGCGGCCUGUUGGGAAGAAACAAAUUUAGUAUUGGUUAUACAUAUGAGGAAGUUAGAGUAGAAAGAUUAGUUGUAUGGCUUCCACCAGGACAGAUGCAAUCGCUAACCUAGCUUCUGAUGCUGCCAGGGGAUCAAUGUCCUGAAUUGCUGGCAAGACAUCUGCUUGGAUUGGUGCGACUGAGGACUCGGCUGAUGUUGCUGCUGAUUGGUAGCUGUCCGAGUUGUCGCCGAUUCAGCACAAGCUCGUACACCGCGACUCGUCUUCUUUGUGGUAGACAUUUUGAGCUUAUGCUUCAAUCGGCCGGUGGCUAUGUCUUCCAUUGAUGGGACAUGAUAGCCGAUGAGGGGGUACGACGUGUACGGAUGAUGGGUCUCUAUUAGUCUGCCACUCCGAUUGUGCGUUGGAGGCACUUAGCUGUCAACCUGCGCGGAAGAAAAGGAUAACGAUAAGAAAGUUCUGCAGCAUGUGAGAAUUAUAAGUAAGGAGUCGGCAGAAAAGUAUUGUUACCUCUGCAUUUGGAUUAGCGUGAGCGGGAUCCAGUUGAUUGCAAUACACUGCAGGGACCGCACAGAAAAUGUACUGUUUCCACUCGGCCCACCAUAAUUUGAAUUGCUGAGUGGAGAAGGGGACCACCAGCCAAGCGCUCAGAUCAAUGGUGUUGGAAUUCGAUGUCAGAUUAUAUAAUCUGCUGUAUUCUAGUCCUCGUGAAAUUGGUUCUCAAAAUUUCACUCGGCCGACAAAGUGAACUCCUAUUGGCAUCUGUCCCAGGCCAAAUUGCCGAGCCGCUACCGACGGAUUAUAUAAUUCGUAUGUUGGAGAGUCCUUCCUAGAAAAGAAGUUCACCGGUAGAAUCCCAGGUUUGAUCGAGUGUCCAUGAUUCCCUUGUCAAAGGUGUUGGUACCCGAGUCAAAGCAGUCAGGAUUCUCAAAAGUUGGAUUUUCUCUCUAAUACGGAUACCAAUUCGUCACUUCUUCUCCAAAACCGUUAUAAAAGCAUUUGAAGUGCUCGACUAUUCUUGAGGGGGCGAGUUUGCUGCCUGGGAAAGAGGAUACAACUUCGCCAAAGGAAGUGUAGCGUCGUCUUGUCGAUGGGUCAGUCUCUGAUUCGACAUUGGGGAAAGUCUUGGUCUCAAUCCGCUCCUUGAAGAUUUCACUCAUGAGCUAGAGAUUGACAAACCACCAAGGACCACCAGGGUUCCCGAUAGGUUCUCCAGAUGAUAGCUUCACGGCGACAUGAUGCAACAUGUAGUACACUGACCCUAGCAGGUGCUUUCCCAAAGGGACUGCGGCGCCUCCGACUAGUGCUUCGGCCAAAGCUUGUGUGUUGAAAGUAGGACCAGCCGAUUUGCCACAGAAGAGAUAUUUUUCCAGCCACAUCUUUAAGAAGGCCGUGUGCUCCUUUCCUGUAAUGGGUCCGGUCCUCAUGUUCUUCUCAAUAAAGCCUUUCCAUCUGCCGAUGGCUUUCGUCUCCAGCCGAUGGGUAGGUUUGAUUAAGAAAUCGAAAGAUGAGUCGGCGGAGGAAAUAUCGAGGCCAGUCAGCAUCAGGACAUCGGUCAAGGUUGGAGUCAUUGGUUCAUAGCUGAAAAGAAAUGCAUUGAGAGCGUCGGACCAUAAGUAAGAUGCUGCGAUGAGCAGAGAUUCAUUCUUCUCCAUAUGAGAUAGAGACAGAUUUAUGCAAUGGCCAAUUUUUCGCUCGUCCCAGAAGACUCUAUUGGAAUUUGACAUUCUGAAAAACCAAUCUCUCCAUCCGGGGGUUUGAUUCAGCCAGGACUUGAAGGUGUUCGCCCAAUUAUCUAAUUCCAUGGUUGAUUGCUUAAAAGGGAUCCUAUGAGUUUCUAGGCUAAUCAGAUCAGUUGGGUCAGGAUCUCCCAUAGGGCCAGGGCUGAUGAAUCCAGGGGUGUCGGCCAUGGGGAUGGUGAUUCUCUGUCCGAGCUCCUGAACAAAUGCGAAGAAAGACUAAAUAACAAAUCCAAAAUUGCGAAAAGAUGAGGAGAGCCUAGAAGACUUACUUCGGAAACGAAGGCCAUGGUAGCUGUGGGUGCUGCCAUUAGAACUUGGGGGUCAGUGUGGUCGAUGGAGGACGUGAGCAAGUCACCAAAGUGUAAUGGGAUGCGCCUAGAGGUGGCACGAGCAAGGUCGCCAGAGUGUGCUGGAAGAUGAUUCGCUGAAAAGGAAACCCUUUUCGCCUGGAAGAAGAAAAUGCAGCGGAAGAGAUGAGUAUAUGUGGGAUGGCUCAGGAGAAGGGUAAAUAUGGAAUUUUUACCACGCCAUCUAUGCUAAUUUCGAAAAGAGCGGUUGCCUGCGGGCGCUCUGUUUGAAAAAAAUGCAAUCAUCAAGGAGAAGAUUUUGGGAGCAAAGAAGGUUUUGCUGUAUUUAUUGUUGCGUCUCUUCCGGAGGAAGGAAUUGGAGUUGAGAAAAUUUCAGAGCAAAAGAUAUGUUUCACUUCAAAACUAGGGGGCAUGUAUUGACGUCGGUUUUUGACACGUGUCAGGGUCGGCUUCAAGAGGAGAAGAAAGUGGCCGAUACGAUUAAACAAGAGGCUAUGGCUAGAAGAAUCGGCCGAUAAAGCUACAGUGUUUUGGCCGAUUAGCCGAUGAGAUCGAUGGGGACUAGUUGAUUGGAAGCCAGAACAGCUUGGCCGAUAUGGGCCUGAAUGGGUCAAAGCGGUAACAAGAUGAAGACAGGAUUGGCCCAUAGAGGAUUGAAUGGUGUUCGACUCCGAUACGAGUUGUAUCCGUAUGUAAAUAUUUGUUACUUUGAAUAAGAGAUAGAAUAUUGAGUCGUAGUCGGUUAGGAAAUGACUUGUAACAGGGUAUAAAUAGGUGCCUCGUGAGGCUUGUAAAACAAUCAACAAACAACAAUACAAAUCUACUUUUCUAUGCAACUUUAUUUCCAAGUCGGUGACUUCGCCAUACCUUUUUAUUUCACGAGUUCGUGCGAGUUGGCAGGGCUGCAUCAACGUGAUCUCCGGCCAAUUUGUAAGUUCCACGUUUUGAGUAAUAUCUAAGCUUUAACUUCAGACGCAUCGCUGUUGUUUCUUUUAGAUUUAUUCACUAGUUAUCGAUAUUUGCUAGAAUUAUAGGUCUUGCCUGUUAUUUUAGUUUUUAUCACCAGUUAUCCACCUUGAGGCACGAGUUGUCGGCUAUAUCAUUACAUUAUUUAUUAUCAUACAGCCGAUUAGAUCUGUAUCAGGUGUUGUCUCUGUAGCAUUAUUUAGGUUACUCUAAUAGUUUCUUUUACAUUUGCUACGUGAUUAUCGGCUGUUUUAUAGCCGAUUAUCCUUAUAUUGAAAUCGGCCAACCCGCUGAUACAUCCUUUGGAGUAGAUCGGAACUUCAGCCGAUCGAAUCUCUGGAAUUUGAUAUAUUUCCUUUCUUGUCAAUCAACAGGUCAGAUUGACUAGCACGUCGUGUGAAACGCACCAGGACGACAACCCGAAUAGGAGUUAAGCAGAUUCUCCCGGGUUUUGUGCUUGACGCAAGAGUCGGGACCACUGUCCGACUUUUUGCGUCAACACCCGCUCCUGGUGACGGUUAUUGAGUUUUCCAUGGAGGUCACGACAGUCGCGGGGAUUGCUGUGGAGGUCGUGGUCACAUUGUCAACUGGGUCGGCUGUGGCGUUCGCCGUCUCCUCUUCCGUCGCGGCGACAGUUGUCGCGGUGGUGGUUAUCUGAUCGGCGAUCCUUGUCGUCAGGGUGGUGGUCGUUGCUUUGGAACUGCUCCAUCUCCUCCUCUAGAAUGGGUUCUAGCCGACCUCCCCUGCGAUGGUCGUGAUCAGCUUGGCUGCGAUCGGAUCUACUCUGAGUAGAUCGGCUUCGGGAGUGCCGGGUAGAUGUAGUUAUGGAGUGUGACGACCGGCUUCUUGAGCGUGCUGGGGCCUGGGCCCUCUCCUUGAUCUGAGUAUUGGCGACACGGAUGCUCGGCCGAAUUCGCUGCAGUUGCUCCGAGUCCAAGAGGUUCUCUAGGUCGGUGAAAACAGCCCCCAGGUUGGCCCGGGGUGUGGCGAAGACGCCGUGAUCAUUUUGCUCAAAGUCGUUCUGGGGGUUGUGUGCCCGCAUGGGGUUAGGGCACCUGCGCCGACCUCCUGCGUCACCUUGGUCAACAUUGUCACCGUCGUUAGGUUGCGCUAGCAGGAUGGGUGGUGCGUCGGUCGCUGCGGAAGCGGUGGGUAGCUGACGAGCUUGCUCGGCUCGUUCCUGCUGGCGUCGGACCGCACGAUCAUGGUUCCUAUUGUUACGGCCUUCCUCGUGGGAGUAAGUUUCCCCAUCUUGUGGAGGUUCGUCGUUGGAGACGAAGACUUCCUGAUCUGGCGAGGUGAAGCUUCCAUCCUCGCCCUCGCCAUAGGAGUUUGGAGUUAAGGCAAAGCGAGGGACCUGGAACUCAACGUAGUCCGAAAACUGGGUGGGUCAUCAUAUUGGAUCUGGAACGACUGCGCGAGUUUUUCUUGGAAAAACACGACAUCCAAGUUCUUGAGGCCAAAAGGGGCACAAGAAGGGCCCUGGCUCGACCUCCCAGAGCGUAGAGCUGACUCGGAUAGGUUAAUGCAUUCAACAAUGGUGCUGCUGAUGCGAUCUAGCCCCGUGAUUAGAUCAGAGGGCAUGGGCGGGUGGGUUGCCGCAAGGAUGUGUGGGACCCUCUUUGUGAGAGAAAGGUCGCCGACCUGCUGGAUGAUCGGAGCGAUGAUCCUUGGGUGGAGACCUUGUGUGCCAACGCAGAUUCGACAGAGGCCGAGCUGGCGGUGGACGCCGAGUCGGCGAUGGAGGCGGUGGAGUCUGAGUCCACCGGCAUACUUCUAAAGCGGAGCUAGAUCGGAUUGACAAGGAAGUCCUUCAUGCUCUCGGAAAAGAUGACGUCGGGGCGAGAUGCCAUUGAGCUCGCUGGGGAGGAUCUCACAAUCACCACUACCUGGCGCGCCAACUGUCAGAUUUAGUGAUCAGCAGUCCAUUAGGGGUUACCUAAGUGGUAGAUUUGUAGGCGUGGGAGAUCCUAAGACCAAGAAGUUGAAUGGUAACACAAGGGGCGCAAGGUUUAGACAGGUUCGAGCCUCCGGAGAGUAAUACCCUACGUCCUGUGUUCUAAUAGAUUGUAUUGCUGGUCGCAGGUGCGAAAAAUUCACGUGCUCUCGGAGGGCGCCCCUGGCCGCUUUAUAUAGGCUGACGACCUAAGAUUACAUUUAUAUAGGCUGACGACCUAGGAUUACAAUCGGAUAGGAUGUAAUCCUAGUCGGUUGUUAAAAGGAAAUCAAUCUGAAUCAGUUUACAACAAGUAUCCCGAGAUAUCCGAGCAGAAUCCGUUCAUUCGGCCUCCAAGCUUGUGCACCACGCGUCUUCAUGCCUUGCCCCUCACGUCAUGGUUGGGUGGGGCCCACUUGUCAGGUCAGUUAAUAUCCUAGUUGGUGGGGACCCGUGGUACCCUUAUUCCUCAUCGAUGCAUAUUUUUUCAAACAUUUAGAAGUUAUAAUUGUAACAUGUUUAAACCACAGUUGCAACAUUAUAAAAAAUAUAUUAUUUUUAAAAAAAUAUCAUUAAAAUAAAUAGAAUUAAUUAAUUUGAUUAAAAAGGUGCAACGUGCAAAUCAUCUGUCAAAAUAUUUAGAAUAAAUUUUUGCAACAUCCUAAUAUAGUUGGCACAACGCCAUCAUAUAUUUCAACCAUCCUGAAAUACAGCCACGGUAACGUACGACUCAUUGAAAAAUAUUGAAAUAAUUAUUGCAACAACAUCGCAUACCUAUCGCAAUGAAAUAAACUUGAAAAAUUUCACCAUAACAUCCAUCCUUAUGAUUGAAGUGUCUCUCCCACUACAACAUUAUUGCAUGCCUAUCGUAAUAAAAGUACGUGCAAAAUAUUCCCACCGCAUCAUGAUCAAUGGGGUUGGGCGUCUGAUUUUUAGUUGGGGCAUCGGAUGCUCUACACCAAGCAUUACAUAUCUUUAUUAUAUUACUAGCAUAGGGGCACGAGGUGCGACACGCACGCGUUUAAAAAAUUAAAAGCAUAAUUUACAUUUUACUUUGACAAAACAGAGUAGCACUGAUAUAUUUAUUUACAGCAAUAUGUAUUUAUUGAUAUUUUGGUAAAUUUGGAUUUAGAACCAUAAACUGCAGGUGAAUUUAUCAGUAAUAGCUUGUGAUAAUCAAAACCGAAGCUAAAUGUGUAUCUUCAUGCCCUCUUGUAAAGCAAGAUUAGAUAAAACAGACAAGCAUUUGCCCAUUUCUUUCCGACUGCUGAGUUUUUUUUACAAAAAAUUAUGUUCUGAGCGAGCUUAAAACGCUUGCCCAUUUCUUUCCAACUGAUGUUGCGGGACCCAAGUGCUGGAGCUUAUCUCAGAGCAACUUCAAGAGGCUGCUAAUAUUACCUCCAAUACUUUUUUUAGGAAAAAAGAGAAAAAACAAACUCCAACAAUCCAUCCAAACUUUCCCCAAUUUUUUAGCAACGCUAAAAAACAGCCUACCACCGCGUAUAUUUUAGUGUUAUUAUUCCUCCCCCAAUUCUGAUUCCCGCACGCUCGCGCGUCCCUUCCGAUGGGCCCAAUACGAUGAUGUAGCCUGUUUUAAAAUAUUGGGGGCUAUUUAUUAGCGAUAUGCUGUGGAUUGAUAUGUUUUUUGGGAAAUUUUUUUGGAAGAACCCCCAAUAUAUAGUUUUGGGGAAGAAUUUUUUGGAGUACUCUUGGAGUUGCUCUCAGCCAAGAGCUGCACGCACAGGCCACCUCCUCUCCUCGUUUCUCUCAUCCUACUCGUUUCUUCCUCUUUUCACCGUUACUUAUUUUUCCCUCAGCGGAGCUAGCAAUGCAUGCACUCCCUGCUAGGAGAUGGUGGCCCGGGUCACCAGUCAACACUCCCGGGCGCCGCCGGUGAGCUUGAGCAUGACGUUGAGAGGGAAAGGAGGCAGCUUCUCUUCCCCCUUCUCUUCUUCUGAUCUUCUCAUGGCCUCAUGGGGCAUCUUUCUCUCUCGGCUUCUUAAAUCCAGCGAGCGUAGCGGCAUGGCUGCGAGCAGCGAGCAGCGGUGGUGGCACCGUUGCGAGCGCGGUUCCUGCACAGAUCGAAUGGCGGGCCGAGCGACGCGCGGCAGCUGUCGCACGGAGAGCUACGACGAAGCUCACACGCGUCGGCAUUGAGCCCACGCGACGUCCUCACUCGCAGCAGUACCAGGCUUAACAGAGCAGGGCCGGUCGAGCGGUCGGCUGGCCUAGCAGAAGUUAGCAGGAGCGGGGCGGCGCAUACUACCAACUGAGCGGUAGGCGUGGUCGACAUCUUUGGCUGGCAGAGAAGCAAGGCUGGCAGAGAAGCAAGGAGCAAGCCGGCGGAGCGGCGCGAUGCGAGCCGAGCGGGCGGCGCGUGUGUCCAGCGGCGGGGAUUAGCGGCCGCAUGAUUUCAUUUUGUUUUCAGCAAGCAAGCCAAUUCUCGCUCGCGCGACGGAGUUGCCCGAGGACUGGGGGGCGACCAUCGCAGCGGAUGCUGCUCAGCCUCGGUGGCCACUACCGCCGUCCCUCCCCCUCCCGCCGCGCCGCGGACCAAGGGCGCCCGUCCCCCUCAUGCACCUGUUCGUCGAUUGGAAGGAUGUGUCCUAUCCUCUCUGGCGAGAGAAUAGGUGAGAAAUAUUUUCAAUUAUUUUUGAUAUACGAUUUAGACAUGUAAAACUACCUCAUAUUGCGCGUACAAUAAAUGUUAACGGUGCAGGUGUUCUGAUUAAUCAGCAAGCAACCGGUCGAGCUAAUCGCUGUCGUGCCGAGAGUAUACGUGGAAAACUUGGGCACGAAAGUCAGCUACUACCAUGUACCAACUAAUCCACCACUUUGGGAACGUCUACAAGACCGCGACACAAGCUUAUUAGCUUAAUACACUUUGGGUUAGUCUCCCCCAAAGGAGCAGCCAAGCCACGAAGACAAGUGCGUUAGGUUGAAAACGGACGGACGGGAUAAAUCUUCCAUCCCGUUUUCCACAUCUAACCUGCCUAUUUUCAUAUUUAUAGGGGGGUGUUUGAAGCACUCCACUCCAAAUUUUUGAGCUCCACUCCACCAACUCCACCACAUUGCAGCUCCACUCCACCAACUCCAGAAAAAUACCAGAGCUGUCCACAUGUUUGGCAAAGUGCACAGAUCCAGCUCCGGAAACAGAAGAUCUUGCUGUGUUAAAGUUUCAUUAUACCCAUGUGAAUGGGUGCCCACUUUGUCAGUCUCUUUUAGUUCACCCUCUGUUCUCCCUCUCUUCUUCCUUUGCUGCUAGGCAAUGGGAAAGGCCAGCGCGCAUUGCGAAGCAGAGGCGUGGCGGGCACGGCCAGGGGGCGGCCGGCGGGCCCCGUUGGCGGGCGUUGCCAAGGGGCGGCAUGUUGUGUGUUGUGUCACUGGGGUCGGGAUGUGCACGNNNNNNNNNNNNNNNNNNNNNNNNNNNNNNNNNNNNNNNNNNNNNNNNNNNNNNNNNNNNNNNNNNNNNNNNNNNNNNNNNNNNNNNNNNNNNNNNNNNNGCAUCAGGGGCCCGCCGCCGCCUCCACCCGGCCGGCUCUGGCAGGCGAAGGAGGCAUCAGGGGCCCGCCGCCGCCUCUGAGCUCGACGCGGGCGCGCUCAGCGCGGAGCUCCGCGGCUGGCGCGCGGCGCUGGAGGCCUGGGCCGAGUCGCAGCGUGCGUACACGGCGGCGCUCUGGGGCUGGGCGCGGAGCUGCGUCAAGGACGGCGAGGACAUGCCGCACCUGAUCGUGGGGUGGGCGCGCGUGGUGGAGUCUGUGGACGUGGACGCGGCGGCCAGGGCCGUGGACGCCGUCGCGGCGGAGGCGGCCGCCAUCGCGACGGCCGCGAAACGGCAGCGCGGCGGCGGCGAGGAGUGGUUCAACGAGGAGGAGGCGAAGAAGAUGGUCUGCCAAGGGAUCACCGCCGCGCUGGCCGCCAUCGCGGAGGCCGGCGGCUUGGCCGUCGUUGCGUACGACGAGCUGGUGCUGGAGAUGGAGAUGGAAGGGAGGGAGCGGGAGACGGAGAUGGCAGGAAGGGACGAGGAAUCGAUCCAAAACUAAAAUCCUGCGGUUGUGAACCUGCAAGACGUGCAAAGGAUCUGUAAAUGUAUAUGUACAGAACUCACAAAUCACAAUUACAAAAGCAAUUAGGAGUAUGAGAGCUUACCUGAACUCACAAUUACUCUCUGUUCAUCAGAAGAAUCAGAAGGUAACAGGGUAAUCUAAUCCAUCAGAACACCUACUGCAAUCAGAUUAGAAACAUAUAAUGACAUGAUAUCUCAUCACAGUACUAAUUAUGCUUCGGAGUUCAGUCUCUUAGACCCUUAGCACAUACUAUAAUCAUAUAUGAGUAGCUAGUUAGCCACUCAGUUCUAGUAUUACAGAACUAGGCAAUAUAGCGACCGAGACGGGGACUCUGAAAAACUCAAGUCCGUUCAGUUCACAACUCCAGCCAACACAGCAAUGGCAGCUGACAUACACUUGCAGGUCGUAGUACCGUGCAUAUAUAUAGAUACGCAUACAGGGCAGGAGCUGCCAUCGGCGUGCGAACUCCAGGCUCCGGCUUCGGCUCCUCUUCACUUGGACAGGCCGCCGUCCCACGGCCAGACGUCGACGCCGGGGCCGCCGCAGCUCGUCACCUCGCUGGCGAUCCGGUUCUCGAGGCUCUCGAGGCUGGCGAUGCUCUGCAGCGGCGAGUUCUGCACCUGCUCCGUCGGGGACAGCCCCGCGAAGCACGGGUCGUCGCCGGCGAAGUCCAGGCCGGACAGCACGUCGGGGCCCCGGCACGCCUGCCGCGGGUUGAGCACAGCAGUCGGGCGGCCAGCGCGGCAGGGCGGGCGGGCGGCGGCGGGCGGCGCGGGGUGCGGCGGCGGGCGGCACGGGGUGCGGCGGCUGAGGAGCGGGGGCGGGCGGCGCGGCGAGCGGCGGGCGACGCGACGGGCGGCGGGCGGCGGCGACGGGCGGCGCAGCGGGCGGGAGCGGCGCGGCAGGCAGGCCGGCCGGCGCGACGGGAGCGUCUCCUUUUUUAUUUCGCGAACCGUUACGUUGUGUAACGAGUGGCAGUAGUGGGUAAAUACCCACCAACUCCACGAGGAGGUCUGUAAAGAGGAUUUUUGGAGCACCUCUUGAGGUACUCCACCAAAAACGUGGAUCUACCUUGCUGGAGCCGAACGCGUUUGGCUGCGAUUUUUUAGGAGUUGGUGGAGUGGAGUGAUUUUUGGUGAAGUGAAGUGCUCCCAAACACCCCCUAGAUAAAUCCGGAAAUAGGACAGGAACCAGGAGAGGGUCUAUCCCGCAUGUUUUUGUAGGAUCCCCUUUUUAACUAGGAUGGACCGUAUUUAUCCCGUAUUUAAUAAAUCCAGGAUAGAUUUAAUAUGCAUUAGCAUGUACUUAGCUCUAGUUCAAUUUCUCUUAUAGCCCAAGAGGUCAUACCACAUAUUUCAUGAAAGAUCCCGUUCAUCCCGUUCCCACUCCUAUUCCCAACUAUUCCGAACCUGAUCCCGUUUUCGAUGAUAAAAUGUGAUAACGAAAAUGGGAGAGGGGUUUUCCGCCCGUUCAGUUCUGUUUUCAUCCCUUGCCUGGCCCCCAAAGGAGCAGCCGAGCCAAACCAAAGGAAUCCGGUCAGUGCGUCGCCGCGUCAGCAUAUCGAACAGCAGACGACGCCCACAAAAAAACACGCGCAGCGCACCAAGAUCCGGGGUGCAAGAACACCAAAAGCAGCAGGCACCUUUCUUCGCUCCGCGCCCGCCCGCCGGCGCCUCCACGCAGCUGCGGCCGCCGGCACCGGCAGAGCCCGAGGCCGCGCGCCGCAGCGGCGGCGACCAGGGACAGGGCACGUGAAGCCCCGUGCCGUCUCGGACGCUGAACAGAGGGCCCCCGGCGGGUUGGCCGGCUGGGUCACUCCCUCGGUGGCAGAGAGCGCGGCGGGGAGGUACGUGCAGCGAGCGCGGGACCACCACGUCCCGCGCCCGCGGGCCGGUCAGCCGGCGCGUGAUGAGAUCUGGAUCGCGCGAGUCGCGACAUGAGGGCCGUAUGGGUGUGGGGCCGUGCGCUGUCGCGGGUACACGCUAAUCGUGCCAGCUCCACCGUUGAUCCCAUCUAACAACCCGCCUUCAUUUUUGGCUUGCUACCUGUGCCAGUUUUUUCUGCUAUGGGGCACCCCGGGGUGUGUACCCGUUUCAACGAUGAAGAUCUAUCAAGUUAUUUUUUUUAGAAAAAAGAUAUAUCAGGUUGGGUAGAAACACAAAUAGAAACGGACUCGCAGUAUAAUCUAUAGCACCUUCAGUCUUUGCUUGCCCCACAUCAAGAACACGACGUUCGGCGAGUAAAACUAGCUGUAUAGUUUCUUCCUUCCUUUACUUUAGCUUUUUGUUUGUACAAGUAUCGGGCUGUUUGUACAAGUAUCGGGCACGAAUGGAUCGCUGCAACGCUAUAUGGCUGCUCCCUAUCUUCCUGAAUUUAUCCUUGCACAAAGCUAAAAUGGGUUAACUUCACGUAUUUUAGUGUCGAAUCUAUUUUUGGUUGGAACUGGCAUUUAAUUUUAAUUAAUUAUUUAACUAAAGUAUCCAUUUCAAUCCCAACUCGAAAAGUCGUCCCAAUUGUUGUUGAAGAUGAACGCUUUCAAAUACACAAAGCACUACUCCUUACCUUCCUGAGUUUAUCCUCACACAAAACUAAAACAGGUUAACUUCACAUAUUUUAGUAUCCAAUCUAUUUUUAGCUGGAACUGGCAUUUAAUUUUAAUUGAUUAUUUAACUAAAGUAUCCAUUCUAAUCCCAACUCGAAAAAUCGUCCCAAUUGUUGUUGAAGAUGAACGCUUUCAAAUAAACAAAGCAUAGGGAUUUCAACUUGGAUCUAAUGCCCCUUAAACGCUAAAAUGUUCUCUCUAUAAGUCAGAUUCAGUCUUUAUUCCUAUCAAAGUUAGUUAUUUCCUUGAUUCUUUUCUUUUUCGUGCAUAACCUUUCCCAAACUUAUCGGAAAAUGGUAACUUUUCCAUGGUCACUAUUUGGACGUCUCCUUUUAACCUAUAUCCAUAAAAGGUGUCAUCAAGACUCUCUUUUUAAAACGAAAUGACACCAAGACUUUCACCUCACUAUCAAUCGUGAUGCGUCGACUACAAUCAUAAGUUCGUUUGCCAUUGUUUGAAAAAAAAAAGUUUUUGUCGGUAGAAAUAAAUUGGACAAAGAUGACGAGACAGAUGUUUAUCCAAGUCUUUUUCACAUCACACAAAACUGUGCAUUGCCAAUCACAAACGUGUGCACAUCAUAUGUACGCCCAGCACAGAUGUAAGCGAAUCAUACCAUGGUCCAUGGAAAACCUUUCCAUCUUUUAAUCACGCUUCGACUUCGAAUCUCCAUCUCCAGGCUCCAGUUACACUUGUCCCCUCCCCUCUCGUCUCAGCCUCUCUCCCCUCCCUCCAACCCCGCACACACCACUCACACAUCCUCCAGGUGAACAAGCACAAAAUUCGAACACGAAAAUCCAAAAAAUCCGAUCUCUACCUCCAUUUCCAAAUCAUCACCUGGGCCCGCCCCAAAUGCGCCAGCCUCGCGCCGCCACCACCGCGCGCCGUCGAUGACUCCCGCCCCUCCGAACGCUGGCGGCGACCUCUUCGCCGCCAACCUCACGGGCGCGCUCCUCGCCGUCGCCUCCUCCGCCUUCAUAGGCGUCAGCUUCAUCGUCAAGAAGAAGGGCCUCCGCCGCGCCGGCGCUGCCGGCACCCGCGCAGGUACCCACGUCCCCUCUCUGUCACCGGCAACCAAAAGGCGCCUCCUUUUUUCUCUCGUUUUCGUUAUUUCUGUUACAAUCAUGGGCAGCGCUCGAAUCCCUUCUUCGUUUCGAUUUUUAGGCGUUCAUUUUAGUCCACGUGACGAACGAUGUUGAAAAGUCGCUGCUUUCAUGGCCAAUUCGUUGCAAUCAUGCGAAAUUGGUUUUGGUGAUGGAAAUUGCAGGUGUUGGGGGCUAUGGAUACCUCCUGGAGCCAUUGUGGUGGGUUGGGAUGGUUACCAGUACGUUCCUGAUUCCGUUGGUUAGCUCGUUCUUCACAGCAUAUAACAGAAAUAAUUGACAUGCUUGGAACUUCGCAGUGUUGAUUGGUGAGAUUGCUAAUUUCGUGGCCUACAUGUUUGCGCCAGCUGUUCUGGUCACCCCACUUGGUGCGCUCAGCAUAAUUGUCAGGUAGGAUUGUGAUGGUUGCUAAAUGACCUUGUUGUGUUCUGUCUGGAGAGCAGAGAUGGUUAAUUUCGUGGAUUGAUUUAGUUUUGAUUGGACAUGCGCAUGUGUGGUGAUCUCUGCGGAGCAGUGCUGUUCUAGCCCAUUUCAUCCUGAAUGAGAAGCUGCAGCGGAUGGGUGUGUUGGGUUGUGUGCUCUGUAUAGUCGGGUCAACCGUAAUCAUCCUCCAUGCACCCGAAGAAGAGACGCCAAGCUCUGUGGCGCAGAUCUGGCACUUGGCAACACAACCUGGUAUUCCCUCUGAUCUUACGGAGUAUAUUGUUUUAUACAUCGACUUGUUAAAACAAGUACACUUUGGCCAAAACAUUAUAUCUGUAUGUUUGUAAAUCCUAAUAAAAAAUGUUUGUCAAGUUAUACCUGUUUGCAUAAUUUCAUAUGAUUCUAUCUAAAUUUUGUAACGAAAUACAUACGGCCAAGCUUUUUGUAAAGAAACUCAUAGUCAAAUGAAAAAAGUUCGACCGAUGCAUUAUGGGAUAAUAUGUUGCCCUAUAUAUCAACCCUAUAAUCAUCAGUCACCAAAACUGACCAGUUGAGUUUUCAUGUGCAUCGUGUAAUGUCUCCCCUUCCUUUCUGCAGCCUUUCUUUGUUAUGCGGCCUCUGCAUUGGUGAUCUCAAUGAUAUUGAUGCUGCACUGUGCACCCCGCUAUGGCCAGACCAAUAUAGUGGUUUAUGUCGGCAUUUGCUCAGUGAUAGGAUCUUUGACGGUAAAUGAUGUUCAUUGGCAUACACCUUUGAUACCAACUUUGUUUUGGUUUUCAUGGAGUGUUUCAUUGCCUUUUUUUUGCUAGGUAAUGAGCAUCAAGGCGGUAGGCAUUGCUAUCAAGCUUACAAUUGAGGGUAUAAACCAGGCUGGCUAUUUCCAAACUUGGUUGUUCGCGACNNNNNNNNNNNNNNNNNNNNNNNNNNNNNNNNNNNNNNNNNNNNNNNNNNNNNNNNNNNNNNNNNNNNNNNNNNNNNNNNNNNNNNNNNNNNNNNNNNNNNNNNNNNNNNNNNNNNNNNNNNNNNNNNNNNNNNNNNNNNNNNNNNNNNNNNNNNNNNNNNNNNNNNNNNNNNNNNNNNNAGCGAACGGUGAGGGCUCCCUUAACCAGGCAGUCAUACGGGAACUUGGUGAUUUUCUGUAUUCUGAUUCUUUAGAAAAUUAAAAAAUAUCAAUGUUUUUUCUUGGAUGGGUAUUGACAGUUAUCCAUCCACUUCUCUAUUUAGAUUAGGAAACAAAAUCUAAAUCUCUUAUCAGAAGUGACACCAUAGUAACUUACUGUUUUUCUUUUACAAACUACAGAUUUGUACACUCCUCUUCCCCCAAUAUAUUGGCAUAUCCAAGGCAACAGCGAAACAGGAGGGAAACAGAAAGAGGAUGAUUUACUCUCUGGCGACUUCAUUACUGUGGUGCGACAAGACUACUUUGUCUAGAAACCUUCCAGGAUGCUCAAAUACCAUGAAAGGAUCCUACUUAUGCUCAGUGUUCUGUGGCUUUCCCACCUUGCAUGGUUCAUCAUUGAGAAACUCAUGAUGCUUCCUAUGCUCAUUGUCGUCUCAAGACAGCCUUCCUUCGGUCGGUUGACCGAUCUGAGUAAUUGCUAAGUUUUGUAGAAAUGGUAGGAUUUGUUAAUGUUCCAGUUUGAACACUGGGCAGCUGGGCCGAUGCCUUGUAGUAAGAUAUAAGCAAUCUGUCUUCGAGCCUGCUGGUAUGAGCAAGGUUUUGCUGCCAGUUCAUCAAGGCGGUGCAGCCAGAUAUGUUGUGUGUGGCCUCAACCGUCUGAAAGGUUCUAGCUAGUCUUGACAGUUUUUGGCAGAUGUAUUUAUGUUGUACAGUCUAAUGUAAAUGUAUGAACUAGAGCUAACAGAAUCUGCGCAUAUAUUCUGAGGCAAACUUUGGGGGUGUUUGGAUACACCCCACUAAAAUUUAGCACAUGUCACAUCAGAUGUUUGGAUGCUAAUUAGAAGUAUUAAAUAUAAGCUAAUUACAAAACUAAUUGCACAGAUAGAGUCUAAUUCGCGAGAUGAAUCUAUUAAGCCUAAUUAGUCCAUGAUUUGACAAUGUGGUGCUACAUUAACCAUUUGUUAAUGACGGAUUAAUUAGGCUUAAUAGAUUCAUCUCGCGAAUUAGCAUAGGGUUCUGCAAUUAGUUUU
rnacentral:lncRNA from 1 species